AACUUGUGGGAAGAGUACUUGAUCUGAAGUCUAAGUCGUUAACGGAUAUGAUAUGGGAAGGUUGAGCUGCUGUUUAUCUGUUCCUAGAGAUGCUAGAAUUCUGGAGAAUUUUAUCUUUGAAAAUCUUUAAAAUAUCACAUGAUGAGUUCCUGUAUGAUGAGAGUUUAAAUUCCUAUCACAGCCAUAUAUACAUGCUUGCUAGACUAUGAGCCACACAUUUACUUUUUACUGCUUAUGAGCAUUGAGUGUGGUCAAGCCGUGUAGACCCUUAGGAGCUUGUCAUGUGGUUAAGUCAAGAUUCACUUGCACGUUCACUCAUACAUGCUACUUCUACUCUGGAAGUACCAUCCACAUAUACCCAUUUCCAUCUCCAGAACCACCCAAAAAUAUUCUACUCCUAAUCCGGGAGAGAAUAGCCAAAAAUAUUUCUAUUUUUUCCCUGUGAAAUAAAUGCUGAAGUUAUCUUGUCACUACCACUUGCUAUAUUAUCUCAUGAGAUGAGUGCUCUAAAGAAAAAGGAGAAAAAAAAAGAAGAAUACGAGGAAAUAAAAAGGGGCAAUUGCCCGGAACCUCGAAAGAAAAAAAAGAAGAAAAAGUGAGACGAGAGGUAAAAAUGGACAAGUGUCCGACAGUAGAAUUAGGGGUACAAGAUACCCACCUGAGAGAAAAGAAAAAAAAGAAAAAGAAAGAAAAAAGAAAAUAUAGAGCAUCUCAUUCUCCUCAAAAAGUUUCAAAAGAGCAAGAAAGGUAUGUAUCCCCUCAAAAGAGCAUAAGUAGAAUUAGACUUUCACCAUUGUCACCAUCAUCACCAUACACCAUUCAUUCGCCACACAUGCACAUCUUGAUUUGACUAUUUGACUUGUUCUUCUGGAUCCAUGGUUUGACUAUGCAAUAAAUGUCUUGUAAGUAUGUAUUAGCUAUCUCCCACCUAUGAGCUCCACAUAUCAAAAGCCUUAUUAGAAUAGGGUGAGAGAGAAGGCAAUGCCACUAUGCCUCAUACCAAAAAUACCACAUACUUUGAGAGAAGGCAUACACUAUUAAUGCCUUGGUAAGGAUCCAGAAAUACCACAAAAGAGAGACUAGAGAGAGUCAUACAAGGAAUCUCUGAGUUUUAUUUGAAAAUCUGCAAAAACUCCAGAGCUAUAGCUGAUCAAGAAUAAGAGACAUGGUGCUUGACUAGACCGUUCUAUCUUUUAACUGCUCAAGACACAGGUGACGGUUGCAAGUCCCAUGGUGAAAGGUAAAUGAGUAAGUUUUAAGUCUUAACAGUUUACUCUAACCCGAGAUGAGAUCUUGUUUAAACGCAUGUGUAUCUUUAAGUUAUGAAACCACUGCAGAAACUCUUGAGUCCAUCUUUGCUCAGGGACGAGCAAAGGUUAAGCUUGGGGGAGCUUGUUGACGGUCCUUAAUGCUCACAUUUAACCAUCAACUAAUCAUAGAAAAGGAUCUAAAUGGAACCAACACCUAGACUUAGGGUUUUAUCUGAUAGAAUUUCACAAGUUUUGGUGUUUGUCUAUUUCUGCAGGGGGUUAUCAGGAAAUAUGGAAGAAAGGCCCACACGUCGGGUUUACAUAGAGAUAUUAACGUGCCGCACAAUUAUCUACCAUCUAGAAGACUCCAGAAGCCACGGGACCGAAGCGGAGGCCGAGAGGGCUCAGGCACUGGGCGCCCGCCCUAGUCCUAAGGGCGCCCUUCCACCUCUUUCCACCAAUCAGGGCGAAGUUCGGGGAUCAUGCUCACCGACCUAAUACUUCAAGGAAAACCACACGAUCAAUGUCGGUUUGAUCCGACGUCCCAGAUUCACUUGAAGGGACUAUAAAACCAGACCCCCUGGCCCCUGGAGAUCAUACCUCUUCUACAGAAUCAAAGCUAGGGUUUCAAUUCUUCAUCCAAGUAGAGAGGAUCCCUCUAGUUCUUCUAGUUCUACCUCUAGUUCAUCUAGAUCUAGUUCUAGUUCAUCUAGUUCUAGUUCUAGUUCCUCUAGUUCUAGUUCUAGUUAGUUCUAGUUGUAAUCUAGAAAAUAGGGAGAGAGAAGAGGAGAGCGGAGGGGGAGCCGGAUCUGUCGGAUCUUCCUCAACAUUGUACUUUUGCAGCAUCUGGUUCGUUCUUCAUCGUUCUCUAGGUUCUUCAACUCAUAACUCCUGAGUUCUCGAAUUAAUUUUAUUUACAUUCAAGUUAUUUAUUGGAUUCCCGCUUGCAUCAAGUGCUCUAGUCUUUGAAACAUUAUAGUAGUAAUUAAUAGAUUAGACGUGGUGUUUAGUCUUGCAAUUACCUGGAAUUGCACCCAAUCCUGCGAAUUGUUGUGGUAGCCUUAGGGUAGUGACAGCCCUAGCGGUCGACGUAUUCCACCUCGUUCGGAUCGGUGUUUGUAGGACCGUAGUCGGAGCUUCCUAGCCCCCUUCUCAUCUCUUUCUGUGGUUAGUGUUCUGAUGUCCCGAAAUAGAUAAUCUUGAAGUAAUUCUUGAUUCUUAGAUCAACUAGAGAACUCUCAGGAAACUUCCUCUCUUCCCACCAAAAAUAAUCAUAUAGUUAUCCUUGGGCGAUCUUGGAUCUUAAUUAGUACACUCACGUUCCCUGUGGAAAAUCGAUACUCUGGAAUACUCCCGGGUGAAAGCUACAUCGGUAUCCGUGCGCUUGCGGAUUUUUCUGUUUGCAUUUAAAAUACCCAACAACAACUUAGACUUUAGAUCAAGUUUUCAUCCCACAAGUUUAGGUCUAGAGCAAGAUUUAAAUUAUAACAGUUAUAUCUAAACUUGAGAGAGAACUUAAAAUGUACAAAUUAGGCAGAGCAACUAUUCAUCAUAUCCAUGCUUAAGUUUUAUUAUUAAGAUACAGAUUAGCAUAGCCACUUUAUUGAUUUAGUAGACAUACUAAGCAAAAGACAUAUAUAUAUAAGCACGAAAUCUUUAUUUGGUUUUUUCAUAGUUAUGUAUAUUUAUAUUCUAAAAUAAUAUAAGAUAGAUAGAAAUACUUAUCGAGAUAAAUGGGGGUGCUCUCCCCCAAGCUGAAUUUUGACGUAAUUUCUCUUGAUGUAGCUAGCAGGCGGCAGAGGUGUAUUUGAAAGUCAGCAGCAUUCUGACAGCGAUUAGAAUGUCCUCCGUCUGCUAGUCUUCUUGAUUCUUAAAUUCUGCGGAGCUCAAAUAGACAACAAAGCUUGUGGAACUGAUUAAGUGUUAACAUAAAUAUCUAGCCUUUAUUAUGUUGAGACUCCUUAAUAAUUAUUACUCUCUGUUUUUAUAUUUUUAUUUUAUAAAGCAGAAAAGAAAUUUUUAUUUUAUUUUUAUGCCACCACAGUGAAUGUACUUAUCGGUUUUAUGCCACUCGUAUACUCACAUGGGGCUUACUGUUUUUUUCAUAUUUUUAUUUUCUUUUUAGGAUAGUACGAACAUGAUAAACUAAGUAAACUAUUUGAAAUAAUUGAAAGGGAAAGGAUAACUACCAAGUUUACCUCUUGGCAAGGCGUUCGGUGUUUUUAAGUCCUCCGAAUGGGACUCUCUAUUUUUUCAAUCGUCCUGAGGUUCGUUGGGUGGCGUAGUCGGUACUUCCGGCAGCGCCUCCUCUUCAUGUAUAAUUAUCUUCUCUUUCCAUACCUGACUCGGUGCUACGGUCUCCUCUGGAUAUUUCUGUUUAAACUCUAUGUCUUCUGACCUUACAACUUCUCCUUCAUAGUCUGCCCAUCCGUCCUUGAUGAUCUGCCUCCUCUGGUUACGGUUGCGUCUUUUCCUUACCUGCUUAGAUUCUUCAACGAUAUAGUUAGGGUCAGUAAAGUAAUGGCGUACCUUCUCUGAGGGGAAGUGCAUAUGGACUUCUCCGGUUCCAAUGCAGAUAAUUGCUUUAACGGUGCUGAGGAACGGUCUUCCAAGGAUGAUGGGUGGAUCAUACUCGUCUUCUCCCAUGUCAAUAACUUGAAAGUCUAUGUAGACAAAGUGAUCGUCUAUUUUGACUGGGACAUCAGUUACUAUUCCUUUAACUUCUCGAAAUGUCUGAUCUGCCAUCUGGAGCUGAAUGUAUGUUGGUCUUAGUGGCAUGGUUCCGAACAAGAGCCGAUAGGUGACUGCGGCCAUUGUGUUGACGCCCGAUCCGGUGUCGCAAAAUGUCUUGUAAAAGUUGUAUCCAUUUAUGGAGCAGUAGAUGCUUGGCAUUCGUGGGUCGUCCUUUUUGGUCAAAAGCGGUGACUUAAGUUGGUGAUCUUGGCCUCCAUGAACUACAGUGACCAUCUUAGCUGACUCGGUCCACACUUGCUUGUUCCUGUUCCUCCUGUUGGUCCUCUUCCUUGAUUCACGUCUGGAUUGAUCUGGAAUUUGUGUAGCCUUGUUCUUGAAGAAAAAUGUCUCCUUCCUCCCUUUGACGUAGAAACUGAUCUUGGCAGCACUAGCGUAGAUGAUAGCUUCCGUGGUGUUCAAGAAUGGCCUCCCUAAGAUGAUAGGUGCUCUCUCAUCAUUUCCGUUCUCUACCACUACGAAGUCUGCUGGGGCAUACAAGGUACCAACUCGGACACAAAGGUUCUUCAAUAUUCCUUUUAGAAAAGUUAUCAUCUGAUCUGCAAACUGCAAACACAUGGUUGUCUCUAAUAAAGGAUAUGUAAAGAAUUUUUCAUAGAGUACCCUAGGUAUAAUGUUGACACUGGAGCCAAAGUCUCAGAGUGCUUCUGGAACGUCCACCAUGCCGAUGGAGAUCGGGAUGACGGGGCGUCCUGGAUCGCCUCUCUUGACCGGCAGAAGGUCAGUAGAGAAUUCAGUGUCGGGGUUACUCCAAUUACCUGCAUCAAACAUGUGUACAAGAAUUGCAGAUUCUAAUCCUUCCGGUUGUGAUGGUAUACCGGGGUUAGUAGCAGGAACAGCAGCAGCUAUUUGAUUUAACUGAGAUUCAAUCAUUUUAUUAAAGCUAAUUUGAUUCUUGAUGGCAGUAGAGAAAUUAUCCAUUCUAUUAUUUAUAUUUUCUAGCAUUUUAUCAUUAGAUGCCAAUUUCUUAGAUAGAUUAUCCAUUAGCUUUCCUUGAUUAGACACUAACUCUCUCAGAGGUGGAAAAUUAUUAUUAUUAUUGAAAGAAUUAUUACCUUGAUAAUUACCUGAGUAGUUAGGCCUCUGUUGAUUCCAACCUUGAUUUUGUUGAGGACGGUUGUAGUAGUAGUUGUUGUUAUUGUUGAUGUAGUUCACAUCCUCAAGCAUCUCAGGGCAGUGGUUACCUGAGUGUCCAGUGUCUCCACACUCCUCACAAGUCAUGUGAGAGUCGUAGAUGUGCAUAACUUCUUUCUUGUCUCCAGCUCUAUCGUCGAGCUUCUUCAUGAGCAGGUCUAGCUUUGCAGACAGCAUGUCUACCUCGUUCAGCUGAUGCAUACCUCCACCUCUCUUGCGUGUCUGGGUCCUCUCUUCAUUCCAGCCUUGAUUGGACGCCAUCUUCUCCACAAGAGCUGUGGCUUGUGGUAUAGUAAGUGAUAAGAAUGCUCCUCCAGCUGCAGCAUCCAUGGUCUCUCGGGCACUGUUGCCGAGUCCAUGAUAAAACGUCUGCAUCAAUAGCCAACUCUCCAUUCCAUGAUGGCGACAUUCUAGGAUGUAGUCUUGAAAGCGCUCCCAUGCUUCUGGAACAGAUUCAUCAUUUUGUUACUGAAAACUUGUAAUCUUCCCACGGAGAGCAUUGGUCUUGUCCAUGGGAAAGAACUUAGCCAGGAAGUUUGUUGAGCAGAGUGCCCACGUAGUAUUCUUCUCCUUUGUAGCGUAGAACCACUGCUUCGCUCUCCCUAACAGUGAGAAUGGGAAGAGGCGAAGUAGUAUAGCAUCUUUGGAAACUCCUGAUGUGGUGAAUGUGUUGCAAAUCUCCAGGAAGUGUUGUAAAUGAGCGCUAGCAUCUUCAUGUGCCUUCCCACAGAACUGGUUGGAUUGCACCAUGUUGAUAAGUCCAGGCUUGAGCUCAAAGUUGCCAUCGAUCUCUGCAGCAGGUCCAGUGCGGAUGUUGUCCGUAGUGGGAGCUGAGAACUCGCGGAUUGAUUUGUUCGCCAUGGCUUCGAACUCUGAAGACAAGUUCCGGUGAUCUUCUUGAUUGGAUGAAGCUUCUUGCUGAAGUGUUGAUGAUCUCUUCUUGAGCUUGGCUCUCGUCUUCUUGAAUAAUGCUUCGGGAUUGUCAACAAAAUUUCCUGGAAGAUGUCUUCUAUUCAUACAUUCCCCUGCAUAAGAUAAAAUAGAAAAAUAUCGGGGUAAAACUGUAUGAGAGAAUAGAUAAGCUCAAUCAUAUUAGUGAUGCGAAUGAUAACUCAAAAUCUUUUAUUCUAUUCCUGAUUAGUAAUCAACCUUCCCCGGCAACGGCGCCAAAAAUGCUUGUUGGGUAUUCUUAACAUCAUUACCAAAAGUAGACUAAGUUCUCUAAAUCUAGUAACGAUGCCAAAAAUGCCAAACCUAUCCCUCACACCACUUAAGCCAAGUUGUCAUCCCCAGCAUGAUAUAAGAGACGCGGUAUUGAAAUAUGCAAUUGCUAUUCUAAAUAAAUAAUGAACGGGAUCUGCAAGCGCACAGAUUAAUACCGAUAUAGCAUUUUAACCGGGAAGUAUUCCAGGUAUCGUUAUUUAUAUUUUUACCACUGGGAAGGGAUUAGCAAUCAUCAAUAUUGAUUACAGAAUAGAAUAUGAGAUUGAGCAUCUAUCAUUGCAUGUAUAAUUGAGAACAUUAUAUCUAACUCUUCAUAUAGGGAUAAGUGUCACAUAAAAGAUAUAUGAAACAAUAAUAGUGACAAUGAUAACUAAUCUGAUCUAGCCACAUAAUAAAUAUGAUAAGCACCUCAAUUAGAUACUCUAGAAAGUCAUUAGCAUGGUAUUAGAACGAACUACAAGAAUAUUCCCUAAGUUAUUCUCAACUAUAUAGUCUAGCAUUAUCAUAGUUAGUGCAAGCAUACUUAGCAAUCAUUGUGAGACAAGACUACGCCCAUGCAUAGUGAUAUUAGCAAGGAAUAUGAGAAACAUAGCAAUCACUCCCCUGUAAUAAUGUUGCUCUGCCAGCCCAAUACACGAGAGGGGGACUAUAUAAGAAUCAAUGAAGCUGUCACUAUCACGAACUACCCCACGAUCUGGCAUAUUGGGUACAAUCGCAGAUAAAUACGGUAUAAGCACCACGCCUACACAAUAUCUAUCAUUUACCCAUGGAUCCGAUGGAUAAACGCUAUACGAUCCUAAGCAUGUAUAUAGAUCAAAUCUAACUAAGCCAAGUACAUAACUAUGAUAAACUAAGAACAAUAUAAUCUUGAAUAUAAGCAAGUAGAGCAAAGUCAUAAUCAAUAUAUUGAAGUAGAACAAAGUCAUAUUCAUAAUAUUGAAGAACAAAGAUAAUUAGAAAGCAAUUAGAAGCACAAUUAAAGAAUUAUCAAGAAUCCUCUUGACAGAUCCGGAAACCAAUCGAAGAUUGACUCCUUCUAGUUCUAAUUCUAUGUAGCUAUGCUAAUCUAGAUAUCUAAUUGAUGUGGUGGCUAUAAUCUUGAUCAGGGGCUUCUUCUCCCUUGAAGAACAAUGAAUUAGGGUUGAGAGGCUCUCUCCUCCAGGGGCCAGGGGGUCUGGUUUUAUAGUCCCUUCAAGUGAAUAUGAGCCAUUGGAUCAAACCGACAUAGAUUGUAUGGUUUAGAUUCAUCCUUUAGGUCGGUGGAGAUCUCCCACGAAGCAGAGUCCUGAUUGGACUCCCAGAGGGGGCGGGCGCCCUGCCUCUGGCCCCGUUUCGUCUCCGCUUCGGUCUCGUGGCUUCUGGAGUCUUCUAGAUGUAAGAUAAUUGCGCGGCACGUUAAUAUCUCUAUGUAAUCCCGACGUGUGGGCCUUUCUUCCGUAUUUCCUAAUAACCCCCUGCAGAAAUAGACAAACACCAAAACUCAUGGAAUUCUAUCAGAUAAAACCCUAAGUCUAGAUAUUGAUUUCAUUUGGAUCCUUUUCUUUAUUUAUUUGAUAAUUAAAUUUGAUACUUAAGGACCGUCAAUAGCAAUCAAGUUUCCAAACUUGAGCCCAUAUAAUCCCGGUAGUCAACCGAAAUCAUGAAGGAUUUCAAACCAACUCGCAACAGACCAAGAUCGUAAUAGUUCAACAUAAAUACAGUGAAUGUUACAUAGUCAUUCAUUUUCGUCGAAGCGGCACCACAUCGGAGUAAUUAAGUUAUUACAACCCAUGUUCGAAGUAGCGGAAGCAAAAUAAUUACACACACUUGUUCAAAGUUCAGUUCACAAGUUCUUGUUAUUGCCAGAGUCUACACCAUCCUUCCAAAAGCAACAGGUACGAGUUUGUUAGAGAACCGUGCCCAACGGUUAGUCCUCAUCCCCAGCGGGAUGGAUACAGGUCUUGCAGAAGCCGUCAUAAAAGAUGUCAUCUGCAACAGGUGGGAAUAAACCUUGAGUACGAGAAUGUACUCAGCUAGACUUACCCGUCUAGUAAAACAUAAAAGACACCAAGGAUCAUGCAAGGCCAAUAUCAAUUAGGGCUAGUUGACUCAACAUUUGCCAAAAGCUUGCAUUAAAACUAACUUAUUGUGGAAGCAUCAUGUUUAUUCAUUAUCAGCCUACCACUAGAUUAGCACCUGUACUAAAGCACUUAACUUUAUUAUUACAAGAAAUAAUAACCAUAUCAAGUUCAUCAUAUGUUCUUCCUUGCUAUCAUCAUUAUCAUGAACCAAGUUCAUUAGUGAAUGCUAUAUUUGCCGCUGCUCUGUCAAGUUCUCACUGACCGAGAGAGACGGCGAUUCGAAUCGAAUUCCUAUCCAGCUGGAGGGUUAUUCCUAGCACUCACCCAAGCAUCCCCCGUCGGAGAGCCAACGGGUCACCUUUGGUACGACUCAGGAAUCGCGGCUCCGAUCAGCGCCGCACUCCCAGGGCUACCACUUUGCUAGGGAGGUCAGGAAUUUUAACUCACCUGUCUUUGGGCUUACGCCAAUGGUCCCCCGCACACCGCACUUCCUCCGGUACUGCGCACUUUAUACUUGCCGGUCUUCCGGCCUGAGUCAUACUACUCGGCUUCGCAGUCGGAACGAGUUAUCCGGCCAACUAAGUGUCAGGCAUGCGUUCAUCAUGACAAGAGGACAUACAACGGUCGGUCCUUAGCUGGCAUAGACGGAGUUACUAGAACCUUGCAAAACUCAGCCCGGCUUAAGUCAAUCUAAUCAGGUUCCAUCCACGAUAGCACAUAUAGACCAUCAUGAUCCGACACAACCCUAUAUCGCGCAGGUGACAGAAAAUCACCCGACUUCUACCGAUUAAGCAUGGCUAAGCUGCUACACAAUCCUAACUCUACAACUAGGGUAGGGUAAGUUAUCUGGACAAGGAUGGAGUAGAGUGCAGCAAAGGUUUCAUCACAACUCCUAUACUUAAUGCAUCAAUAGAUAUAACAUAUUAAAUAAACUUUCGAAAGUAAAGGGAGGCUUAGAAUGCUCCGGGGCUUGCCUUUCAUGAACGAGGCUGGCUCGUGAUUCGGGCACUCAACUUCUUCUUCGGGCUCCUCGAGUCCGACUUGCUGGACCUCCACCUCCUGGCUGUCCUCCUGGCCUUCGGGGUUUGCUUGGAGCUCGAAGGAAGCGGUCACGUCCGAUGCACCUAUUGCAUUCUCAACUAAUAAGAAGACGUGCAUAAAAGAGGAUGAAUGCUUGAUACAUAACUAAACUCACUAGACACUCAUUUACGGAGUAACUUCUAAGUGAACUUACAAGAAAACCACAUGAAUUGAUCAAACUGGACAAGUCAACUUAUAAACAGCAAGCACCCAAAACAGGACAGCUCAGUAAUCAGACCAAAGCUAGUACUAGACAGAUCCAACAAACAUGAGUGAGGACAAUCUGGAAAGCUUAUAAAAUUGCCUACAAUUCAACUUUAAACUUCACAGCAAGAUUCAUAAGUUAAACCAGCCUUAAAAACAAAGUUCCAGGUUCUGUCCCAGAAAACAGAGAGCACCUAUUUCUGGAACUCAACUUGGAACAGCCAUAACUUUUAAACUGCUAGGCCAAUUGAUCCCAAAUUUAAACCACAGCUAGUUCAUAAAGUUUACAACAACUUUGAUUCAGACAAGUUUCCCAGAAAAUUCAGUUAUCAUUAAACAAAAGGUAAAUUACUUCCUUGCUGUCCAGAACAGCUUUUAGUCCACCAAUUAAUUAUUUAAUGACAUAACCAAAACAUAAACAAUGCCAACCACAUGGCUUAUGAGCACAAGCACACCACAAGAUAACCAGAACAUCAUAUGAUGACCUCCAAAUAUUUAUUAACAAGGCAUUUAUUAAUUUAAUUCUAGAAAAGAGCAUAAUUACAAGAUACUGGUAAACGUGCUCAGAAAAAUCUACAAAAACUACAGCAGUACAAGUAUAGCACCAAAGCAUCACCAUACAAUUUUCAGAGCAAAUGCACACACCAAAUUAAAGAUAUGCAUUUAACAUGUGACAAGGUGUUUAUUUCAUAAAUUCAGAAACAUGGCUUACAAAGUGUCAAACAGCAGAUUUCAGAUUAUUUACAGGUUAUCAAUACCAUAAACAAGUUUGCCUCAAAAGUAGAGCACCAGCAUAAGUACCAAUUAUUUUAUAUGAUUUAAUUAAGGAAACAAGCCAAAUUUCAAACAUAAAUUACAUAUCAAAGCUCCAGUACUCCAAAAAUCAUGAAAUAUUUAUCAUAGCCUUCUAACACCACACAGAGACUACCAUAAAAAUUUCAUAGCAAGAUAAGCAGUAUAACAAGAGAUAUGAAUUUAUCCAUGAAUAACAAGAUUAAAUCCUAAUAAAUACUUUUCCCAGAAAACAUGGUUCAUUUUAUAUUUUUAUUAAAAACUAGCCAUCUUAAGGAAUACCACAAAAUUGGUUUCACAAUUUUUGGAUCUCAGAAACAGGAGAUAUGAUUUUUGUAAGAAAGCCAAAAAUCAGGAUUUGAAUAAAAGAAAAGGAGGGAAGUGAGGUGACACUGACAGUGGACCCCGCAAGUCAGGGUCAUCUUCCUCACCGCCGAGGCGACUCUCGCCGGCGAUUUCUCCGCGACGGCGAGGUCUCCGGCCAAACCAAGGGCACCAAGGGCCAAACCGGAAAUGGCUCGCCGUCGAUCAUGGCGGCUCGGCGGAGGUGCUCGGCGUUACGCUGGAGCCCUCAAGCCGGUAGAGCGUGACCUAGUGUUUCCUACAGCACCAGUGGACUACGGCGAAGCUUCCUAGGUACGCGGCUUGGCUUGAAACAUCGUGGAACGCGCUGGCCACAAGAGACCCAAUCUUCGGCGGAAACACGGCGGCGCUGCGCAUCGUGUCCGGCGACGGUGGGUUCGGUAGAGCGUCCACCAUGAGGUGCAACCGCUAGCUAAGGACCUAAGCUAUCUCUAGAACCUAACCAAAGGAGAUGGGAGACUCCGAGGAGCUCAGCAUUGAGCUCGCCGGAAAAAGAUGGUCACGGCGACCCGAUUUGGGGGAAAACGGAAAUGGCGGCUCACCGGUGGGUUUCGCGGCGAGCUAGAGGGUGGAGAGUGGAGAGCGGCUCACGGCGGAGCUAUGGGUGGAGUUUGGUGGACUGCGACGCAGUGAGGAGCGCACACGAGCUCGCCGGAGUGAGCUCGCGACGGUGAGCUCGCUGCGGGCGCUCUUCUAGCGAGAGAGGCGAGGCAGAGAGGAAAUGGACGCGUCCACUCCGCUCGGGGCGUCGCCGUGGAUGACAUGCGCGCGCUGGGAGCUGACGAGCGGGGCCAACAGCGGCGUACAGGUGCCAAAUGUCGACGGAGUUCUGUCGCCGGUCGGCCACGUCGACGAGCUCGGCUCCGAUUCAGAGCAAACGCUGAUGGUCUGACAGAGCUGAUGGUCUGCCAAACCAGAGCAAAUUAGGAGAUAAUGCAGUUGACAAAGUUGGAGUUCCAAUCGAGUUCUACAACAUUGUCAACUAGAGCAAAAGCCAGAUCGGCCUGGAUUGAGAGAUAUAGAGUUUUCAAAACCGAUCGAGCAAACUGUUUUCAUUCCAGGACUUAGAAAAUUUCCUAAGUGUUGGAAACAGCCCUAAAUUUGCCUUGUGGGUCAAAUUUGAGCUAGAUGUGAUCAUUUUCAUGAGAUGGCCAUAAAACAACUUUUGUUCCUUAUAAAAUUUGCUACAACUUUUCUGUAGAAAGUUUUGACAUGCAAACAUUUUAUGAAACACUUUUUAAAAGCCUAAGCAAAAGAGGUUUCUAGGGCCUAUUUGUAUAAGUAUGACUUAAGUGAUUAUUUUGGAGAAGUGAUCAACAUGAACAUUGUUCCCAAGGUUAAGUUAAGCAUAGAUAAACUAAUUACCAAGGCAUAAAGUACAAACACAAGCAUGGUUCACUCAAGCAUAGGCAAAGGAAGACUACUUAAACAAUUUAAAACACAUAUUUGCAUGGAAAGACAUGGCUCAAGGUAGAUGAUGAUCAUGAUAUGCUUUGAGUAGAUGAUGAUGCUCAUGAUAUGCACAUGAUUAAUGCAACCAUAACACUGGGGUGUUACACCAAGAGUUGCUAAAUUGUUUCAUUCUUCCAAGUACACAUGUUCCCGAACAAAGAUUCUCCUCCGGAUUAGCAAAUACUUGCUCUAACCUUUAAACUUACCCGUCUUACCUUUAACUAUGGGGCUUUAUAGCUUUUGCAUGAGUCUUGAGCAAUGAGAAGACAGAACAAUCAGGUUAAGCAUUAUGUCUCAAAUUCUUUGUAGAACCAUUAGUAUAGAGUUUUUAUAAGUUUUCAGAAUAAAACUCAGAGCUUAAUUGUAUGACACCCUCAAAUCUCUCAAUGUAUGCGGUAUUUAUGGUUCUCUCUUAAGGCAUUAAUGAUGUUAUGCCUCCUAUAGCUAAAUGUAUAUAUAUGGUAGAGCUUAUAGGAGUGCUAAUAACAAGGAUAAACAUACUUGCAAUGCAUGUAUUGUAAAGUCAACUAAUGGAUCCACAGAGAAUCGAGGCAUACAAUCAAACCAAGAUGUGCACGUGUAUGGAAUAUGGUGGAUAGGUUAAUUUGUGGUAUUUGUGGCUAAUUUAUAUUUCUUAGGGAAUAUUUCUCUAUUGAAACUUUCCAGGACAGACAUGGGCUAUCUCUUUUUUUUCCAGGGAGGCGGGCAUGUAGUACCCAUUGUUUUAAUUAUUGGGACACUUGUCCAUCUUUUACUCCCUUUUAUUCUCUUAUAUUUUUGCAUAGCCACAUGUAUCCUUUAAAUACAAUAAAUGAUCAGAGAGGUAAUAUCAAGAACUUAGAACAUUAAAGACAAGGGUUAUCCUAUAGGGUGAUUGUUGGUGUUUACUCCUAGUGUAGGAAUAAUGCAUGUAUGAACUGGAGUGUGUACGUGAUCUUGAUUUCAAAAGUAUGACAAGACUCUCCUAAGGUAUACUACAAGGGUUGACUGAACUCAAUACAAAGCAAGCAGCAUAAAUGUGCAAAAGUUUUCCUAACUCUAAAUGUAUAUUAUAUAUGGCUUUGGUAGUUAUUUACUUUGUCAUACAAGAGCUCGUCAUGUAGGAUUUUGGGUUUUCAAAAUAAAUCUCCAGAACUUAGUAAUGCUAGGAAUAAGAUAAACAACAGCUCAAACUUUCCAUGAUAAUGUCAACCAACUACCUAGACUUGGCUCAAACUUAUGCCUCCACAAGUUGCAGCCGUCCAGAGGUCAGUUGUUCUUUCAAGAUUGAGUCUAUUUGCUAGUUUGGAUUUCGACAGAACCUCCCCUUGAUUUUAGAUUUCUUAAUUCCUAGUUGGACAGCACUUUCACUAAGUUCUCUCUAUAAAUUCUUGCAGCACUACCCCUCUUUCUCUAGCUCUUGAGCUUUUGCUCACUCUCCCAACUUCCUAUCCUCUUCUCUACUCUUCCUAAGCUCUCUUUGUCUCUCAAACUCUCUCUAGACUGCUGGAGGCCGAGAGCUCUAAGUUUGUCUACUGAAAUGGCUUGUGUGUGGUGUGUAGAAGUGAAGGGAGGAAGGCCUUUUCUCUAUCUCUACCACAUAUAAUACACCGCUUGUAAACUUGACUAAAGCCACACCAAACUAUUCCCUACAGUCAUGUAUUAUCUUACAGCCACCCAAAAAAAUACACACAAAGCCAACUAAUCUUUCAAAUGAAUGGACGAGAUUUAUCUCUAAUCUCUUUUUUCUCUUACUCACUCAGAUCUAAUGGACCAUAUUAGGCGGACCAAAUCACUCAUCACUCAUUGGCUAAUCCCGCCCACCACGCGUGGCUCUCCCUCUCCCCUGACCCCGAUGCCCUCUCUCCAACCAUGCGCGACUAUUCCUCUUCCCCAGGCGACUUCGACUCCUAUCCCUUCCCUUUCCCAUCGCACCGCGUGACCCCCUCCUCCUGCCCCAUUGCAGUGGCUGCCGGCUAGGUCGCCCCCUCACUGUCGGCGGCAGUGGCCUGGCGCACAGGCGGACCCCCCUCCUCCUAGCCCUUGCUGUGUCAGUCGCCGUCGCGGUGGAGGAGCCCAGGGGGCUCAGGCCGCCUGGAGCAGCUAGAGCCGGCCGGUCACCUGCCUUCCCAUCAAGGGUGCGGCUAAGAAGGACGGGCAGAAGAUCUGUAAGUUGACCGUUGCCAGGUGAGUCUCAAACCUUGCCUAGUUGCAUAAAAUUGUAUUGAUGUCAAUGUUUUCCAUGAUGCUGCUGACUUGUGAUUGCACUAACUAUUGCCUAUAUGAUUAUAUUCUGUAUUUUUUGUUAAGAUUUCACGGAGCCUGUUGGAUUUCUCUGUUAUGAAUUUUCUGUUCCUUAUAGGAAAUCAAGAUACUUUUCCUUUAAUGCAAUCAAGGUACAUAGUAUCAUAUUUCCACUUUCUAUUUUAAAAGGUAGCACAUCAAAAUUGUAGACAAUAGCAUGAUAGUUGUAGUCUCAUAAUUGUAAGAUUUAGUUUAUCUGCAUGGUUGGUCUAAUUUUUCUCUCCUGAGUAGGCAUUGUCUAACGAAUUCUGAAAGUCUUGUCUGACGAAUUUUGAAAGUCUUGUUCCUUCAUCUGUAUCACCAGAGUUCGUUGUUAAUUGUUUUCUUAAACUGUAGUGUGGCAGUAGAUAUUCGGACUAUGUUAGAAGAAACCCAGCUGAAAUUUGAGGAAAGGUAUUUGGUAUUCUACUUCCACAUGUUUUUUUCGCAUUAGAUUACAGAGAGCAUCUGAAGCCGGUUAUAACUUACAAAGAGCUAAAGAAAAAUAUUCAUCUUCAGUGCGAACACACUAAUCUGUGUUAUUGUUUGUGCAUGCAGACAGAGGGUUUGAAGGUCAUUGGGAUCACAAAUAAGAGGGAAACCACUGUUAUGUGGAGUAAAUCCAUUGGUUGUCCACUGUACAAUGCCAUUGUGUGGAUGGAUGCUCGUACAAGCUCUGUUUGCAAGUCUGUCUUUUUUAUCAUUUAUUCAUUUUCUAUUAACAUUUGAUUUUGUCAUAUCUUCUCAUCGUGCUUCUACAAUACAGGAGAUUACAAAGUGAGCUAUCAGGUGGUAGAACCCACUUCAUGGAGACUUGUCGGCUGCCAAUCAGUACCUAUUUCAGUGCUCUUAUAUUAUUAUGCUUGAUGGAAAAUGUGGAUGCUGUCAAGGAUGCAGUCCAGACUGGUACCCACUUCGUACAAUGCUUAUGAAUCUAAAGACACUUAAUUAGGAUAAGCCAACACUUAUUUAUUAGGAGUUCCUGUUGAGAUUUUGCCAAAGAUUGUCGGUAACAUAAUCAUAAGAAUUUGUCAUUCUUCUUCGCUAAGAAGAAGUUAAAAAACUAAGCCCAUUUUCUGUAUAUGCUAGCAGGUCUUCAGUGUGAAAUGACUACUGAAAUGGAAGGAUCUCGGCACAAACAUGCUACAUGGGCACUUCAGUCUUCAUCUUCAAAAGUAGACAAGGUAUACUGAUACAUAAUACACUUGAGCUCGUCCAACUAUGUUUCUUGUUUCUGAGACAGAGUCGAGAAUACAAAUACAACAGACAAGUUUUUGACAUAAAUGCUCAAUUAUGGACAGAGAAUUAUGUUUCAUUUCUUGUUAAGGCCCCGAGAAGAGCCUUGAGAAAUUAAGGGUCUUAAUUCUCUCCUCUCUAUCUAAUCCAUCAGGGUCAGUAUAUCCAAAUUACUUGCUUAAGAAAAUAGCUGAUGUAUUCAAGAAGCAUCCUAGGCUUCUGCUUUGGUUUAUAUGGAACUUUUAACCAACCUGUUAAAUUGAUUUGGUUUUGUGUUAUUGUAGGAUUUGACAGUUCAAGGAGGAUGAGAUCCUGGUCAUUGUCUUCGACUAGGACCUGUCCCUCGGUUUAUAUGGAACUUUUAACCAAGAAGUUUGAUUUAGAACCCUAAAAUUGUUUAUAUGUUGCUAAACAACCGUAAAGCAAUACUUAAAUCAUGAAUUUUCUAUGAUCUGAACAUUUAUGAUUUAAUAAUCAUGAAGUAUGAACUGUUAGUAGCAUUCAUGGUUGUUUGACUACCUCUUGCAGCCUGUAGCAGCUGCAUCUAUACAUGAUUCUGCUUGCUAUCCAUUUGUAGAUAAUUUUUAUAAUAAUAAAUUUUAUAAUGUCCUCUAUAAUUUGGAUUUAUCGGAUCCAGAAUUUUUCGUUCAGGCUGUCAGGCAUGGAUGUAGAAGAGAUGCUUCAUUUUAGUGUUUCAAGAAACUUCAAAUCCAUUUGGUCAAAAAUAAUUUUAGAGGUUAGUUCAAAUUAUAUAUGUGGUUUUAUGGAAAUUAGUGGUUGCAAUGUAAUUAUUCAUAAAGGAAAACAAUGGAAUGUAAUUAGAGAAAGUACCAGUUUGUGAUAUCUUUUGGUGGUUCUAAUUGGUAAUUUGCAAACUUGUUAAUAUUCUUACAUCACAUAUAUGUGUUUUUGUUUUUUGCAGUUGAUCUAGGAAAGCAAGGACAUGGUUGGUUUUGGUUGGUUUUUUUUCCUAGAAGGAGCAGACAUUUAUUUGGUAAUAAGCUUAUUUUCAGCCAUUGUAAUUUCCUCUUAUCUAUUAGUUGGACAAUGUUCUUUUUAAUGAUCUUGUAAAAUAUUUCUUAGCCGGUGUCUCUGAAUACUUUUAGGGUAACAAUUCAAUUUGGUAUAUUUUAGCUCACCCUUUCUUGUAUAAGAAACACAGAAUUAGAAAAUUCACCUGAAUCUUACUAAAUAUUUGUGGGGAUGUGCUGUUACAUGAUUAUGGAACAUUUGCGGGGAUGUUCAGUUACAUGAUUACUGAACAUUUGCAGAUUUAAGUGCAUGGAGUAUUGUUUGGGGAAUGGAACUACGUGGAAGCACUGUUGGUAUGGUGUUUGUUCUUUCAGGUUUAGUUUAUUGAGUAUCCAUCUAUAGAAGAAAGUAAGGUGUCAUGUGCACUGUUGGAGUUGGGCAGAGCUCAGACAGAUAUGGAGGAAGAGCUACCACCAGAUCGACCACCACCGGCAGAUCGACAGAGAUGGAGGAGCUCGUUUCGCUGGCGUCUCAAGAAUUGGACAGAAAUGGGGUAGGCUGGGGAGAAACCGGCAGGGACAGCAGAGGAGCUGAAACAUUAUAUCAUCAUUCAUAUUCACCAUAUAUAGUUCAUCAAAUGAUUUCAACAGAGAAUUGUUUUAUACACACGUACGUGCCAAUGAGAAGUUUGUCAUCGUUCAUAUGGAUGGGGGCACUACUACUGGCUAUAAUGGUUUGCCCAUCAUUUUUUAGUUAUCUGUGACAAACAAUUGCAUGAAACUUAAACUAUGAUCAUUUGGUUGUUUUAUGCAUCAAUUAAUUGCCAUAGCGUUAGCACGGGCACUCGACUAGUAUAGAGGAGGAGAUGGCCGGGCGGGUGCCCAUAGAAGGUGGGUCGACCGCCCAUGUGGUGACUGAUCCUCCACUCAAAUUUUGUGGCUGAAAACUUUGCUUCAAUCCUAAGCAAAGUGAGUGGAAAUUUAGUGGACUUGACCGGUGGAAAAGAGGAGGGUGACUGGAGGAGAGUAGGUGGUGAUGUGAUGUAUGUUAGGUGAGGUCUAUGACAUGUGGGACACAUGGUGGUGGACCCCCAUGUAAGAAAUAUAAAACAUAUAAAUAUAAUGCAGGAAUUACAAAUGAGAAUAAGCUAAGAAUAAAUAUAUAAACUAAAUCAAUCUUUUUAUGCCACCAUAAUAAAUAUUUUUAUAAUAUAGUGUUAUAAAGUAAAUAUAUAUAAACUAAAAAAGUAAGUAGAGGUAAAUACCGAGUUACCUUCCAGCCAGAGUUUGAAGUUUAGCAUCCUCCGAACUAGACCUUCCAAAUUAUUUAUUCCGCUGAUGAUCCCAGAGUGGGUGACUCUGGUGAUUCUUUUGGCUUGUCUUGAUUGACCUUCUUCGCAGAAGAUUUGAGCUCUUGUUUUGACUUGAAUGUGAACUGCUCUUCUUGACUGUUGAUGGUGAAUUUGAUAGAUCCUUUCCUGACAUCAAUGUGUGUAUUGCGGUGCUCUGGUCUCCCAAGAAUAAGUGACAUUCUUGAGUUUGGAUGUGUAUCUAGUACCACAAAGUCUACUAGCAUGAAGAAGUCUCUUAUCUUGACUGGAAUAUUUUCAGCGAUGCCCAAUGGAUAUCGGACUGAUUGAUCGGCCAGCUGAAGACACAUUGAUGUUGGUUCAAGUGCAGUGCAAUUAAGCUUGUAGUAGACAGAAGCAGACAUCACAUUGACACUUGCUCUAAGGUCACAAAGUGCAUGGUUGAAAUGUUGAUCUCUAAUUGUACAUUCGAUGGUCGGACAUCCUAGAUCCUUUUUCUUCUCUGGUAACUUGUUGAGGAUGGCCGCACUACACUCUUCUGUGAGCUUGAUUAGUUCAGUGGAUGGUAGUGGUCUCUUCUUGUUAAGAAUGUCUCUGAUAUAUUUGGCGUAUGUAGGGACCUGUAUGGCAUCUAGCAGAGGUAUAUUGAUAUAUAAUUUUUGAAAUACCUCUAUGAACUCACCAAACUGCUCAUCUACUUGUUGUGGUCUUCUAUUCUGACGAGGAAAUGGUAGGUAAUUAGUGUUCUUGGACUAGUUAUGGUAGUAUAUCUUUAGGAAUGUUGUUCUCGUUCUGUUGACACCGUUUUUGGAACGGGUUAAGUCAGUUGAGAUAGACCGAUCGGUAAUACGAAAGUUAUUAUAUUAUUGUGGAAGGGUACCGAUGAAAACCAGCCAAUAAAGAUAGUGCCGAUGACAGGAGAUGAUCGGUACAAGGACUUUGCUGGUUCAGGGUUAGUACAAGGUCGAAAGUGAUGUCUGCUGGUUGUUGCCGAUAAGACUUGGUUUGCUGAUGCCGAUGGAAAAGGGUGUGGAGACUGCUGCUAGAAGGGCAUAUAUGUGCCGAUAGGGCAGAAGCCGGUGAGGACUUGAGGCGGGAGCUGAUGAAGACUUUAUUGUAAUUAGGGUAGACAUAGGAAUAGGUAGUUAUUGUUUCUUUUUCUAUAGUCGUUCGAGUAUGCCUUACAUGUAAGAGUCUUGUUUACCUUAAUUGAGUCCUAGUCGUAUUUGGUUGUAACUCUUUAGGCUAGGGUAUAAAUACAGACCCAGCAGCAAUGUAAUAAGAUAUCAAUCAAAUAUCAAACACAAGUCUACUACUUUUACAUCUACUUUUCGAUGACUUCGUCAAUCUGCAUACUUUUUCUGUUUACGAGUUCAAAAGGAUUUGAUGGGUUACAGUCGGCGAUUCUCAAGUUCCACGUGAGUACCUCUUGGCCGUGACAUCCGGGCACAUCGCUGUUGUCGGGACCAAAGUAUUCAAGUUAUCACCUUUGUCGAUUAAUAGGUCAAAUCGAUUGGCACGCCUUUAUAUCAAAAUUGGGUAUUAGACUUUUGUGUUUACAGAUCUAUUUUUGCAUCAACACAUCUUUUGGCAUGCCCGGUGGGACCAAUCAAUGAAGAUCAACAUGGCUACUUCUGAACUCGAUGCGGACAACGUCAUCGGCAUGAUAGAAGCCGAUCUCAGGGAGGAACAGAAGCAAGCCAUGGAGAGGGCUAUGGAGGAAUACAAGCAGCUCUGUUUGAAAUCCUUCAGCCUGAACAGGAGUGGGGAAGUUAUCCAGAAGCAAGAUCUGCCGUUGCCUCAGCAGGUUACCUUUGAUCCCAAUCCUGGUAGCCUGCAAGACAUGGUUAAUUCUGCAAUUAAUCAUCCUUUGAUUAAUCACUCUAAUGUGUUGUCCAACACCGUUUACAAUGUUGUGGUUCGAACUUUAAAAGAAGGACAGGCACCACCACUUUAUGCUGGCCCAGCCUAUCAUCAACUAGGAUUAUCAUCGGUUGUAGCUCCAUCGGCUCCUUUAGCCGUUGUGGGUAUAGAAGUCACGUCUCCUCCGAGUACAGCGGGAUUGGCUAAUGAGCAAUCUACACCGAUGAGAUCUGAUCAAAUGACUUUAGUGGGACGGGUCCAGCUCAAAACAGAUCUAUCAGGAUCGGCUAUGUCAGGAUCUGUAUUUUAGAACUGUCAAGUUCCUCCUAACUGGUGGGGAUAUGGUAUGCCUUCAGAGUUUUUUGCAAAUAAUUCUGGAACAUCUCAGAUACCUGACAUAGCAGGGAAAGCUCCCAUGCCAUUGGCACCUCUAGUUUCGCCGAUGACUCAAGUACCUCAGUAUUCCACAACAACUAUUGUGAGGCUAAUUUCUGGGAAUUUUUAGUUGCCAACAUUCCAAGUACCUAAUGCAAGCUCAUCGGCAAAUCUAUUACCGACACAACAGAGGUUUAUGUCUCAGGCAGGCUAUGUCAAUCCAGCAAUGACAACAAAUAACCAGCCAUCGGCAAGUCUUGUGCCGAUGAACGCCAAUAAUGAUUGUACAGGAUAGUUGGUCUUCCCACAUACAACACAGCGGAAUUAUCAGGUUGUAGGGGUUCAACAGGGUCAUAUGUAGGGUGGCUUUCAGAAUCAGGCACCGACAGUCCAGCCGAUGAAUCUUGCUCAGUAGAUUGGUGGCCCACAAGCAAUGGCCAAUAUGAUGUUUGCUGGAGAUCGUGUACCCUACAAACACGUAGAAGCAUAUCAACAGAUGCUAGAGGUUCAACCAGCACAUCGGCAGGUUGCUCAUGCUUACUGGGCCGAUAAGAUAGCAGAGGUUAUGAGAGAUCCGUCUGGGAUAAAACCUAAGUUAAUACUUACUCUUAUCAGAUACCAUAUCCUCCUGCAUAUGAUCUAAUUCCGCUUCCAAAUCAGUACAAGGUGCCAGAUUUUACUAAGUUCUCUAGACCAGAUGACACGUCAACAAUGGAGCAUGUCAACUGCUUUAUCGUCCAAUGUGGUGAGGCUGCUAAUAGAGAUGAGUUAAUGGUUCGAUUGUUCUCAUCAUCUUUGUCUGGAUCGGCCUUCACCUGGUUUAUUUCAUUACCUCCAAACUCUAUCAUUACAUGGGCCAAUCUAGAGAAACAGUUCCAUAAAUAUUUCUUCUCUAGAGUUCAUGAAAAGAAGCUUACCAAUUUAGUAAGACUACGACAACGUAAUGAUGAAUCAGUAGAAAGUUUUGUGCAGAGACUACGGGAUGUGAAGAACAAAUGUUAUAGCUUGAUUUUGGAUGAUCGGCAGCUAGGUGAUUUGGCUUUCCAAGGGUUGUUGCCGUACCUCAAGGAUAAGUAUCCUUCUCAAGAAUUUGAGAGUUUGAGCCAUCUGGUGCGGAGAACUUCUGAUCAGGACAUUAGGGCUUUUGAACCUAGAAAGAAUUGGAAAAAAAAGGUGUCAUUUGUCGAUGAAGCUAGAAAAUUUUGAUUCUGAUGAAGAACAGUCAUCGGCUUAGCAGAGUGGGUGAAAAAUAAGAAGUUUGCCUUUGACAUCACUAAAGCCGAUAGAAUUUUUUAUUUCCUGCUUCAAGAGGGUCAGAUUAAGCUGUCGUCAAAUCAUGUGAUUCCAAGGGUAGAUGAGUUAAAGAAGAUUAAGUAUUGCAAAUGACAUAAUGCAACUUCGCACAGUACAAAUGAGUGCAAAGUGUUUAGGUAACAGUUGCAAUCAGCUAUAGAAUCUGGAAGAAUCAAGUUUGAUAGCUCCAAAGCUCAGAAACUGAUGAAAAUUGAUCAGCACCCUUUUCCCACAAAUAUGUUGGAUUCCAAGGGUAAAACUAAGGUUCUGACAUCAGAAAUUGCUGAGAAAAACGCAUCGGUGGAUCCCCAACAUCAGGUAACUACCGAUGACGCCAAAGGGAAAGGUCUAUUGAAAGAAAGUAGCAGCUCCAGAAAGCCUCCCUGAUCUAGUGUUGUGAUUACCCAUAGACGGCAUCAGGAGAAUUGGCAGCAGCGUGAGGAUCAGCAUCGACAUCAGCAAGAAGAGAGGCGUCAGGAAGAAUGGAAUUGACAUAAAGAUCAUUGGGAUUGCCCGUUCUUUGUCCACUGUUUGGAAUGAGGUAUCAAAUUGCCGACUGUUGAAGACUGUCCUGAGUGUAAUGGUUAGCGUGGGCACGAUCGGUCAAAUCAGAGAUUCCAGAUCGAUAACCGACGUUUUAAUGGGGCGAUUAGGGGAAGAACGUAAGUUCAUGAUCGGCUGGGGGGCAGGCUUAAUGUGUAUGAAAGACUUGGUGGAUGCAUCGGUUACUUUCCAAGGAAUCAAGAAGAACUCGAGGAGAUGGCAAAUGCACGAGUCCCCGAUGAAUUCAUAUUCUCUAGAGAUCGCAACAUCCAUCGUGGGGAAUCAAAAUAAAUUCGCUACCAACCAAUUUGGAAGACAAAGCUUCCCCGAUGGUGUCUAGAGGGUUUGACAAGGACGUAUAGGAGAAGAAUGCAACGGGAACGUCAAGAAGAUUUGCAUAGAGAAGAAAAUUCUUCUAACUCUAAAGAUCGGUAGCAGUUGGACCAUAGGGGGAAAGGUCGAUCGGCAGAUGUCAAUAUGGUAUUCAUGUUGCCGAUGGAAUUUCUUGCGCCUUCCAGUGAUGAUGAGGAAAUUAGUCCCUCUGACCAAAUAGCUCAAUUAGCGCUUGACCCAAUGAUGGCUCUAUUUGAGAAACCAUCCGAUGAUGAAAGGUAGCAUCUCAAAGCUCUAUUCGUUAAAGGCAGGGUUGAUGGGCAGCCAGUCUCUAAAAUACUCAUCGAUGGAGGGGCUGCAAUUAAUAUUAUGCCCUAUGUGAUGUAUCGAAAGCUUGGCAAAGGAGAUCAAGACUUAACCAAGACCGAUGUGAUGCAGAAAGACUUUGAGGGCAAUGUGUCUCUAGCUAAAGAGGUUGUAUGUGUUGAAUUGACUAUCGGUAGCAAGACCUUGCCGACAACUUUCUUUGUUAUCAAUGGUAAAGGCGCAUACAACCUAUUGUUGGGGAAAGAUUGGAUUCAUGCCAAUUGUUGUGUUCCUUCUAGAAUGCAUCAAUGCCUUGUUCAAUGGGUUGGUGAUAAAAUUGAAGUCGUCCCUAGAGAUUCUUCGUACAUCAUUGCAUCAGUACAAUCAGAUACUUAUGAACGAACCUGGUACAUAUCAAGGGAAGCAUGGGAGAAAGAUUUCCUCAGAGUUGUCGAUUAUGAGAUUCCACUGAUCCAAGCAGUCGAUUCUGAUGAAGAAUUUUAAUGGAUAAAUUCGCCGAUGAUGGAAAGUUAGGACAGGGGUUUACAUCGGCUGAUGAUUUGGUAGAAGUGGAUAUCGGUAGCGGUGAUAGACCGAGGCCUACUUUUAUUAGUGCUAAGUUAGAUUCUGAGUGUAAGCAACAUUUAACCAAUUUGUUAAGAGAAUAUAAAGAUUGCUUUGCUUGGGAUUAUACUGAGAUGCCUGGAUUGGACCGAUCAAUUGUUGAACAUUGGUUACCCAUUAAGUCUGGAUUUCGGCCAUAUCAAUAGCCAACUUGCCGAUGUAACCCUAAUAUUCUAACUAAUAUUAAGGCUGAAAUAACCAAAUUAAUUGAAGCUAAGUUUAUUCGGUAGUGUCGGUAUGCCGAGUGGAUUUCCAUUGUUGUUCCUAUCUACAAGAAAAAUGGAAAACUUCGCAUGCGCAUUGAUUUUACAAAUCUUAACAAAGCUACACCGAUGGAUGGUUAUCCGAUGCCAGUUGCCGAUUUGUUGGUUGAUGCUGUAGCUGGGCAUCGGAUUAUUAGCUUCAUGGAUGGUAAUGCAGGAUACAAUCAAAUAUUCAUGGCUGAAGAGGAUAUUCCCAAGACAGCGUUUAGGUGUCCUGGUCAUGUUGGAUUGUUUGAAUGGAUAGUUAUGACUUUUGGUUUGAAAAAUGCCGGUGCCACUUAUCAGAGGGCUAUGAAUUUUAUUUUUCAUGAGUUCAUCAACACAUUGGUGGAAAUCUACAUCGAUGAUGUAGUGGUUAAGUCUGGAGAUUUUAUAAAAUAUCUAGCCGAUCUACAAAAAAAUACUUGAGUGCACAAGGAAGCAUGGUUUGAAGAUGAAUCCUAAUAAGUGCGCAUUUUGUGUAUCGGCAGGAUAGUUCUUGAGUUUCAUGGUGCAUCAGAGGGUGAUUGAAAUUAGUAGAAGAUCCAUUGAUGCAAUUAACAAGGUAGUUGCUCCUGCCGAUAAAACUGAGCUUCAGUCUUUGAUCGGCAAGAUUAAUUUUAUCAGGAGGUUCAUAUCCGAUCUGUCGAGCAAGAUCAAGGCUUUCAGUCCUUUACUCAAAUUAAAAGUUUUCUAGGAAUUUGUGUGGCGAAUUGAACAACAGUUGGCCUUAGACAAAAUUAAGAAUUAUUUGAUGAAUCCUGUGGUACUGGUUCCACCUCAACACGGAAAAUUCUUCAGAUUAUACUUGUCCACCCAUGACACUAUUAUCGAUUCAGCCCUUAUCCAGGAAUUUGAAGGAAAAGAGCGUGUAAUUUAUUAUUUAAGCAAAAGAUUGGUGGAUGCUGAGACAAGGUAUUCGGCUAUUGAGAAAUUGUGUUUAUGUCUGUACUUUUCUUGUACUAAAUUGAGGCAUUAUUUACUAUCGGCCGAAUGUACUACGUAUGCAAGGAUGAUGUAGUCAAACACAUGUUGUCGAUGCCGAUUUUGAGUGGUAGGAUCGGUAAAUGGAUUCUAGUGUUGUCAAAAUUUAACUUACAUUACGAAUCGGCCAAGGCAGUUAAAGGGCACGUUAUGGCCGAUCUUGUCACCCAACAUUGUAGUUCGGUGGGUUCUUUGGAAAUUGCUCCGUGGAUGAUUUUCUUUAAUGGGUAUACAUGUGAUGAAGGAGCUGGUAUCGGUAUAAUGUUAAUUUCUCCAUGAGGAAGAAAAUAUGAGUUUUCAUUGCCGAUUGCUGCCACAUUGACAAACAAUCAAGCUGAAUAUCAAGCUUUAGUGAAAGGCUUGGAAUUACUAAGAGAAGUUCAUGCCAAUACUGUUGAAAUCUUUGGUGAUUCUAUGCUUGUUAUAAAUUAGUUGAUUGGAAUUUAUGAAUGCCGAAGUGAAAUUUUAAUUUUGUAUUAUGAAAAAUGUUUGCAAUUGUUGAAAGGAUUUAAGGAUUUAUAUCUGGAACAUAUUCACCGAUUGCAUAAUGAAGAAGCUAAUCGGCUAGCCCAACACGCCUCAGGGUAUCAACCUAUCCUAUAGGUACUCACAUCGACAAUCGGUGCCGAUGAUUGGAGAACAUAAAUCAUCAAUUACAUGAAAGACCCCUCUAAGAAGGUUGAAACACAUAUUAGAUCUCAGGCUACUAAGUAUGUACUCCUUGAUGAUGAACUAUAUUAUCGUACUUUGGACGGAGUUUUGCUCAGAUGUCUUAGUGAUGAUGAGUCAAAAAGUUUGAUGGUGAAAUUCAUGGGGGAGUAUGUGGGCACAUCAGUCGGCUUUUAAAAUGAAAUGGAUGAUUAGAAGGAAUGGAUAUUAUUGGCCGACUAUUCUUGAAGAUUCUUUCAAAUAUUUCAAAGGGUGCCAAGGGUGUCAACUGUUUGGUAACAUUCAAAGAGCGCCUGCAUCGACCAUGAAUCCUAUUAUUAAACCUUGGCUGUUCCGAGGAUGGGCUAUUGAUUUAGUGGGUCAAAUUUAUCCGCCGUCAAGUAAAGGGCAUAAAUUUAUACUUGUUGCUUCGAUUAUUUCACUAAGUGGGUUGAACCAAUUCCUUUGAAAAAAGUAACAAUGGCCAAUAUGAUUGAUUUCGUAAAAGAGCAUAUUGUUUACCGGUUUGGUAUUCCUCAAACAAUUACUACUGAUCAAGGUACUAUGUUUACAUCAGGGGAGUUUGAUGAAUUCGCAAUCGGUAUGGGAAUUAAGGUUUUAAAUUCUUCUCCUUAUUAUGCUAAAGCUAAUGGGCAGGCCAAAGCUUCUAAUAAAGGAAUCAUUAAACUUAUCAAGCGUAAAAUUGAAGAGAGCCCUAGACGGUGGCAUCUGGUGUUAAAUGAGGCCUUGUGGUCGUAUCGGAUGGCAUGUCAUGGUGCGAUUAAAGUGUCACCUUAUCAGCUAGUCUAUGGGCAUGAUGCAGUAUUGCCUUGGGAAAUUAAAAUUAGCACUAGGCGGAUAUUUUCUCAGGAUCAGUUGACUACCGAUGAUUAUACUACUUUGAUGAAAGAUGAAUUAGAGGAUUUGGAAAGUCAUCGGUUGAGAGCUUUAAUUAGCAUUGAGGAGAAUAAGCGGAGAGUUGCUAAAUGGUACGAUAAAAGGGUGAAGGCUAAAGAGUUUGCCAAUGGAGACUUAGUUUAGAAAUUAAUUAUGCCGAUUGGGACUAAGAGUUCAAAGUUUGGUAAAUCGUCUCCUAACUGGGAAGGUCCUUAUCGGAUAAGUCGAUCUGCUCCUGGCGACACAUACAUCCUAAAAACAAUUGAAGGGGUUGAAUUUCCCAGAGCAUUAAAUAGAAAAUAUUUGAAAAAGUACUACCCUAGUAUCUGGGUCGAUGCAUAAGAAGUUUAAGUGCCGAUAACAAUCCUAUCGGUUGGACAAAAUACUAGUGUUUAUGAAAGAACUGAUGUGGCAUAUUGCCGAUAAAGAAAUUUACAGAUUCAGUAGAGUCUGGAUAGCCGAUAUUGCACGCAGACGAACCUGGUUGGCCUCUUCAAUCUGUUUGGUGUCCUCAUCGGCUAAGCCUUCCACUGGUUUGAGCUACUUCUUCAUUUGCAAGGCUUUGCAGGCUUGAGAAUCCCUUUAUAGCUGAAGAUCUUUGAUCAUAUCGGGCAAACUUCUAAUAUGUUCUACGCAUUCCCGCUAUUGUUGUUGCUCUUCUUGGGUAUUCCUAUAAUUUUCAUGACUACUAUUCUUAGGAUGUCUUGAUGAAGUUUAGUAGGAGCAUAAAAAGAUUUAUUGGGGUCAAGGAUGGGUUUAGUGAUGGGUUCAAAGAUAUUUAAUAUGGGCAUAGAAGGGGAGAAGAUAGAAUUUAUUUCCUAAGUGGCUUGGCUCUCCUUCUAUGGCAUCACUUGGCAUGCCAUUCUUGAAUUUUUUCCAAUGUCUUUUUAGGAAGGAAAGGAAGUUGAUGAUGCUUUUAAGAUACUCUUCUAAGAAGAUCUGAUAUGCAUUGAUUUAGGAGCAUCUUAGGUAAUUGGAAGUAUAAAUCAUUAAAGUCAAAUUUAAUGGUUUAGGAUUGAUAGCUAAAUCUUAGGAAUGAUGUAUUGUAUUUUAGUUAUCAAGACUUCUAUUUUUAGUUUACAUAAUAAAUCAUUUUCUUCUUUUGGGGAGUUUAGAAAUAGCCAGAGCAACUCUUUUGAGCAUAAACUCUUGCUUUUAAAAGAUAAGAAAGGACUCUCGAGAAGAUAAAUCAAGGGAUUCCUUGUAACUCUUGGUAAGACCCAAAUGUUGAAUAAACAUGGGGCCUAGCAAACCAAGGUCAGGAUUAAUGAUCCCAUGAUAUAUUUGAGAAGGGUUUAUUAUAUUAUGCAGACAUGGGUAUAGCUUAUAGAUAUUAUGAUAAGGUUUAUGCUUUAAGCUUUUGCACAUGCCAUAAAGAUAGGUGUGGAAUUUAAAUAAAUAUCCAUAAGGAUAAACACAAAAAUAAUGAAGAGACUGGGAUAAAAGCAGGAAAAGAUAAAUGUAUAAUACAAGAUUAAGCUAAACUAAAUCAAAAUCAGCAAACUAUUCCCCAACAAUGGCGCCAAAAAUGCUUGUUGGUAUAAAUUAACUGCACUCCAUUUAAAUAGAUUUAAGUAGGAUUAUCCGCAAGCGCAGAGAUAUCAUACCAAUGUCAUAUUUUACCCAGAGGUUUUAAAUAUCGUAUCCACAGGGAACAGUUGUGAUGUUGACAAAGUAUAUCACUUAACCCUACAAUUAGCCUAGAUCAUAUCAAGAAAAAGAAAAUAGUUAAUGCACUCUGGUUCUGACUCUAGUAAACUUUAUAUAAUAUCGUCUUAUCGGGCAAGUAACCCGAAUAGGAGAAGAAACAGAGUAAUCUCUGACCAGGCACCUAUAAGCCUAUUAGUCCUAUCAAUGAGAAGUGGACUACAGAGGAAACUACGCAGUUGUCACCUACACGAACUACCACUGUCCGGCUGAUCAGGGGACAUCCACAAGUAAACCUAGCCUACACUACGAAAUACUACUUCAAUCAAGCAAUUACCAAGAUCAAAGCACUCAAUACGAGUUGUGAACCAAAGAUUGAAUAAGAACAAGUUGCUUACUUAAAUCAGAAUGGUAAGUACAAAAGUACCUUAGAACACAACUCUGGCCAAGGGAAUUGGAUCCAGAUGAAUACAACCAUGAAGAAGCACCGAUAGGCCGGAACUCCUCUAGAAUCUCUACUCCUCUACUUAAUCUCUCUAAUCUCUAAACAAGACUAGAUCUCAAAGAACUAGUCUCUCCUAAUUGCUACAUCUAGAUGAACUAGAUCUAGAUGAACUAGAACUAGAUCAACUAGAGAGACCCUAACCCUAAUUAUGUAGAGAAUAUGAAGCACCGGGGUAUAGAAUGCCUCCAGAGAUGGGGGUCUGCCCCUCUAUUUAUAGCCCGAUGGGAUCGACGUGCACUGUAGGAUCAAUCCGACUUAACCAAGGGCCGAGAUGCAUCAAAAGAGGCAGUGGAGGAAGCUUCCGAAAGGCGGUGGCCAAAAAUCCUAGGGGGUGCCGGCCGGCGCUAUGGUGGGGCCCUACGUGGCAGGCCCCUCAUUGCUUCGGGUGCCAUCUUGAUCCUUCCUAAGUCUUCUGGUGACGUUUCCCGUGGCGGAUUAGUUUUGUGUUUAUUUUGCACUAGAAUCCCUCUUUUCAGCUUUUCUAAAAUUCACCCUGGAAAACACAGAAUAUGCAAAACUCAUGGAAAUUGUUAGAUAAAACCCUAGACUAGUGUCUUUUCAUGUGUUCCCUUGCGUCUAAAGUUCUAAUAAAUAUUGACGUUAUCGACCGUCAACACUAUAGGGGUUAUUGCUAAUAGAAUUCCACAAGUUUUGGUGAUUGUCUAUUUCUUUAAGGGGUUAUGGGAAUAAAAACAAAAGGAGGCCCACAUGUCAGAUUUACAUCGAGAGAAUACGUGAAACAUCAACUCAAGAAUACUCUAGAAGGCUCAGGAAGACACCACCUGAAAGGUGGGGCCCACCUGCUGUAGGGCAAGGGUGGGAACCCCACCUUGUUAGGGGCGGCCGCCCAGAGGGCAAAGCCAAUCAGGCUCCACCUCACGGACCCUGCCUCCACCGACUUUGAGGAUUAAUCUUAAGCGCAGGUUUAAGUCAAUUUGAUCCAAAGGCUGUGGUGCUUCCUAGGGGGCUAUAAAUAAAGACCCUGACCCACCCUGGAGAGGAGUUCAUAAUAAUUCUUUGAGAAUAUCAAGAGAAGGAUUAUAUAGAGAGGGGUCUCUCGAAUGGAUCUGUCUCUAUAGGAUUCUUAGCCACCAUCUCGAUUAGAUCUCUAUAGUUCUUUAGCAUAGCUACAUAGGAAUAGAUCUAGAAGGAGUCAAGUCAACCUUGGAGUCCGGAUCUAUCUUCAGUUCUUGGUACACUCUUAUUCUCUUUGUUAUAUUUAUAUUAGUUCUUGCUACUAUGAAUAUGACUUUGAUCUAUUUGAUUAUAUCGGAAUUGAGUUUAUUCUGUUUGCUUAUGUUCUUAAUUAUAUUGUUCAUAGUUUACUUUGAUUGUAUACUUAGUAUAGCUAGAUUAGAAUUAUGUUUAUGCAUAGGAUUGUAUAACACUUACUCAUUAGAUCUAUAGGUAAGUGGUAAAUAUUGUAUAUGCGUGGUGCCUAGACCGUAAUUAUUUGCAAUUACCCCUUCUCCCAAUUAUAAGGAUUGUAGAGCACCAUUAUUACAGGGAAGUGAUUGCUAUAUUCAUGAUCUUUCUUGCUAAUAUCACUAUGCAUAGAUAUAACCUUUUCUAGUGAUGAUGCUAGGUGUAUUUGCACCAAUCAAAGUAUGCUUUGAUAGUAUAGUUAGAUUACUUAGGGUUUAUUCUUGUAGACUGUCCUAAUACUAUGCUAGUGCUAUGGACUUAGAGUAAUCUAAUUGAGAUGAUUAUCAUGUUUAUCUUAUGGGUAUGAAUUCUUAUUUAUCAUCUAUCACUUAUUAUUCAUAUUCAUAGUUAUAUUUAUAUUUAUGUGACACUUACCCUGCAUGAGAGAUAGAUAAAGACAUGUUUAAGGUCUCUAUGAUUACAUGCAGUGCUCAUUGCUCAUUAUCCAUUGCAAGUCCCUUCCUAGCGGUAAAAAUAUAAAUAACGAUACCUGGAAUACUCGUGGUUAAAAUGCUACAUCGGUAUUAUAUAUGCGCUUGCGGAUCCUUUAUUUAUUUAUUUGUUCGUAGAAAAGCAUAUAGAUUUAAUACCAACAAUUCUACAUCAUGUUAGGGAUGACAACCUAGCUUAAGUGAUGUUAAGUAAUUUUGACGCCAUUGCUAGGGAUAGGUUUAAGAUUCUAUUUUUAGUUGUUGCGUUAAGAAGUGUCAACAAGCAUUUUUUGCGGUGUUGCCGGGGAAGGUGAAAGCAUCAAAGGAUAAUGAGCAUCACUGCAUCAACUCAUGGAUUGAGCACCAUCCACCCUUCUCACUCAUGCAGCUUUACCCUUGUCUUUUUGUCUAUUUUUAUCAUAUGCAGGGUAAUGUAUGAACAAGAUUGAUCUCCCAGAUAACUUUGUUGAUAAUCCUGAGACAUUGAUCAGAAAGACGAAGGCUAUGUUGAGAAGGAACCAAUCAACAUCAUCAACAUCUCAGCUUGCCAAUCCUCCUGAGUUAGAAGAUCAACCUACUCAAAGUUUGACACCAAAGAUUGUCGUCAUGGCUGACAAGUCACUUUGUGAGUUCUCAGCUCCCACUACGGCCAACAUCCAUACUGGACCAGCAGUGGACAUUAAUGGAUCAUUUCAGCUCAAGCCAGGGCUAAUCAAUAUGGUGCAAGCAAGCUAGUUUUGCGGGAGGGCCCAUGAAGAUGCUAGUUGUCACAGAACCGACCAAAUUAUAAGAGUUCAAGUGUAGAAACGAUCGACUAUAAAUCAAGUUUCCAAACUUGAGCCCAUAUAAUCCCGGUAGUCAACUAAAAUCACGAAGGACUUCAAACCAACUUGCAACAAACCAAGAUCGUAAUAGUUCAACACAACACAGCGAAUGUUACAUAGUCAUUCAUUGUCAUUGAAGCGGCACCACAUUGGAGUUACUUAGUUAUUACAACACAGGUUUGUAGUAGCGGAAGCAAAAUAAUUACACACACUUUCCAAAGUUCAUUUCACAAGUUCUUGUUAUAGCCAGAGUCAUACACCAUCCAUCCAAAAGCAACAGGUACGAAGUAGUUAGAGAACCGUGCCCAACGGUUUAGUCCUCAUCCCCAGCGGGAUGGAGACAGGUCUUGCAGAAGCCAUCAUAAAAGAUAUCAUCUGCAACAGGUGGGAAUAAACCCUGAGUACGAGGAUGUACUCAGCUAGACUUACCCGUCUAGUAAAACAUAAAAGACAGCAACGAGCAUGCAAGGCUAAGUAUAAAGUGGAGCUGGUUGACUCAACAGUUGCAAAAAGCUUAAUUGAUAGCUACAUUAUUAUAUAAGCAUCACAUUAAUUAUCAUCAGCAUAUCACUAGAUUAGCACCUGUACUAAAACACAUCACUUGAUUAUUACAAGCAAUAAUAACCAUAUCAAGUUCAUCAUAUGCUCUUUCUUGCUAUCAUCAUUAUCACGAACCAUUGUUCAUUAGUGGAUGCUACGUUUGCCGCUGCUCUGUCAAGUUCUCACUAUCCGGGAGAGACGGCGAUUCGUAUCGAUUCCUAUCCAGCUGGAGGGUUAUUCCUAGCACUCACCCAAGCAUCCCCCGUCGGAGAGCCAGCGGGUCACCUUUGGUACGACUCAGGAAUCGCGGCUCCGAUCAGCGCUGCACUCCCAGGGCUACCACUCUGCCAGGGAGGUCAGGAAUUUUAACUCACCUGCCUUUGGUCUUACGCCAAUGGUCCCCCGCACACCGCACUUCCUCUGGUAGUGCGCACUUUAUACUUGCCGGUCUUCCGGCCUGAGUCAUACUACUAGGCUUCGCGGUCGGAACGAGUUAUCCGGCCAACUAAGUGUUAGGCAUGCGUUCAACAUGACAAGAGGACGUACAACGGUCGGUCCUUAGCUGCCACAGACAGAGUUACUACAACCUUGCAAAACUCCGCCUGGCUUAAGUCAUUUUAAAUAGGUUACUUCCACGAUAGCACAUAUAGACAAUCGUGAUCCGACUCAACCCUAUCUCGCGCAGGUGACAGGAUAUCACCCGACUUCUACCGGUUAUAGCAUGUCUAAGCCACUACUCGAUCCUAACUCUAUAACCAGGUAGUGGUAAGAUAUCUGGACAAGGAUUGAGUAAAAUGCAACAAGGGUUUCAUCACAACUCCUAUACGUAAUGCAUCAAUAGAUGUAACAUAAUCAAGUAAGCUUUCGAAAUUAAAGUGGGAGACUUAAGAUGCUCUGGGGCUUGCCUUUCAUGAACGACGCAGGCUCGUGGUUCGGGAACUCAACUUCCUCUUCGGGCUCCUCGAGUCCGGCUUGCUGGACCUCCGUCUCCGGUUUGCCCUCCUGGCCUUCGGGGUUCACCUGGAGCUCGAAGGAAGCUGUCGCGUCCGAUACACAUAUUGCAUGCAUGACAAGUAAGAAUGGGUGCAUACUAGAUGAGGAUGAAUGCUUGCCAAUGCAAUUAGAACUUCACUGGGCACUCAUUUACUGAGUAAACUUCUAAGAUAAACUCACAAAGGAUAACUUAUUAACUUAGCAACACUUAGCAAGUCAAACCAUGAUCAGCAAGCAUCACAUAACAGAACAGCUCAGUAAACAGGUCAUAACUAUUGCUAUAAAGAUCCAACAAACAUAAAUGAGGACAUUCUGGAAAACUUAUGAAAUUGUCUACAUUUCAUCUUUAAACAUCACAGCAAGAUUCAUAAGUUCAACAAUUCAUUUAAACAAAGUUCCAGGUUCUGUCCCAGAAAAACAGAGAGCACCUAUUUCUGGAACCCAACUUGGAAUGGCUAUAACCUUUAAACUAUUGGACUAAUUGAUCCCAAAAUUAAACCACAGCUAGUUCAUAAAGUUCACAACAACUUUGAUUUAGACAAGUCUUCCAGAAAACCAAGUUAUCAUUAAGCAAAAGUUAGAUUACUCUCUUGCUGUCCAGAACAGCUUUUAACCCUUUAAUUAAUUAUUUGAUGACAUAGCCACAGCAUAUCUAGUACUAACCAAAUGGCUUACAAGCACAAGCAUAUUCUAAGACAACCAGAACAUCAUAUGUCAACCCCUAAAUAUUUAGUAACAAGGCAUUUAUCAAUUUAAUUUUAUAAAAGAACAUAAUUACAAGAUACUAGCAAAAGGACUCAGAAAAAUCUACAAAAAUUACCGAAGCAUAAGUAUAGCAUCUGGAUAACACCAUAAAAUUUUCAGAGCAAUUGCACACGCCAAAAUCAAGAUAAGCAUUUAACAUGUGGCAAGGUGUUUAUUUCAUAAAUUUAGAAACAUGGCUUAUAUAGUGUCAAACAACAAAUUUCAAAUUAUUUAUAUGCUAUUAAUACCAUAAGCAAGUUUGACACCAAAGUAGAGCACCAGCAUAAGCACCAAUUAUUUACUAUGAUUUAAUUAAGAAGACAGGCAAAAUCUCAAUCAUAAAUUACACACCACAGAUAUAUCACUCCAAAAAUCAUGAAAUUAUUAUCACAGCAUUCUCAUACCACUCAGAGACUACCAUAAAAAUUUCAUAGCAAAGUGAGCAGUAUAUCAAGAGAUAUGGAUUUAUACAGAAAUAACAAGAUUAAAUCCUAAUAAUUAUUUUUCCCAGAAAACAUGGUCCAUUUUGUAUUUUUAAUAAAAACUAGCCAUCUCAAGGAACACCACAAAAUUGGUUUCACAAUUUUUGGAUCACAGGAACCAGAGAUAUGAUUUUUGCAAAAACAGCUCAAACCCUAAAUCAAACAAAGAAGAAAGAGAGACUGACAGGGGGACCCCGCAAGUCAACGGACCCCACAUGCCAGUGACCCGAGAGCAGAGGCGCAACUUGACCGCCGGAGAUCUCGUCGACGGCGAGGUCUCGACGAUGGCCAAGGGCACCAUCGUGCUCCCGACUCCAUUCCGCAUCGAAUGGUACCCGAAACCCUAACUCUACUGGACUCUAGGUACCUCGCCCUCGCGAAUGGCGGCACGGCGGUGGUGCGCGGCCGACCGCCGGCGUCUCUGGUCGGAGACAGAGCGAAAGAGAACUCGGACGAGCAUCAGCACGACCUAGCGGAGCUUCUGGGACAUGAAUGAGGAGGAAUGGUGGACUACAGAGCCCUGGCCACGACGCCGGUGACCAUGGCGGAGCUCCGGCGAGGUAAGCUCGCGACGGAGAAGGCAAUGCGGACUUACCGAGCCUCGGCAGUCGCAGCCAACUUGUCGACGGUGAAGCGGAGAGGCUAGCGGAGUGCUGGGCGGAGUCGCUUGGUCGGAAACGCGGAGACGCGAGCGCGCGAACUCGCCGAAGCAACGGCGGCGACGCGGAGAAGACGACGCACGCGAGAGAGAGCUGACCGGGAGUGGAAUGGCGCUGUCCACGCGACCAGGGCGCCGUGGCGAGCUGUAGAAUGCGCUGAGGACUGACGAGCGGGACCAACGGCAACAUACGGACGCCACGGGUCCAGACACGCGGCGUCACCGGCGAGCUCCCCUAGACUGACGGCGACUCCAUUCAGUUACCGAUCCCGACUGAAACUUGAUGUUGCACUGCGAUUAUCUCCCAAUCCACUCAAUGAUUUUGCCGGCUAAUUGCUCUAUGCUGGUGAGCUACAUGAGUACUCCAACAUUGCUUACAUGACCAAAGUCUGAUUCGGUCUAGAAUUCAAACUGAAAGAUGAACAACCUACCCUCGAGCAAACUGCCUUGUGGGUCACUUUUGAGCUAGAUGUGAUCAUUUUCGUGAGAUAGCCAUAAAACAACUUUUGUUCCUUAUAAAAUUUGCUACAACUUUGCUGUAGAAUGUUUUGACAUGCAAACAUUUUAUGAAACACUUUUUAAAAUCCCAAGCAAAAGAGGUUUCUAGGGCCUAUACAUGUAAGUAUGACUUAAGUGAUUAUUUUGGAGAAGUGAUCAACAUGAACAUUGUUCCUAAGGUUGAGUUAAGCAUAGAUAAACUAUUUAGCAAGGCAUAACACACAAGCAUGAGCAUGGUUCACACAAACACAAGCAUAGGAAGCAUGAUUAAACAAAUUAAAGCACACUUAAGCAUAAAAUGACAUGGCUCAAGGUAGAUGAUGAUCAUGAUAUGCUUGAGUAGAUGAUGAUGCUCAUGUUAUGCAUGUGAUUUAUGCAACCAUAACACUGGGGUGUUACACUAGUGCUCAUCUCCAACACUUCCUGGAGAUCUGCAACACUUUCACUAUCAAGGACCCCUAGAGAUGCUAUAUUACUUUGCCUUUUCUCAUUCUCACUCUUGGGAAAAGCGAAGCAGUGGUUCUACGCCAACAGGGAUAAGAAUACCAUGUGGGCACUAUGUUCCACAAAUUUCCAAGUGAAGUUCUUUCCCAUAGGCAAGACCAAUGCUCUAUGUGGCAAGAUAUCAAGUUUUCAGCAACAACAUGAUGAGAUAGUCCUAGAAGCUUGGGAGCGCUCUCAAGAUUACAUACUCAAGUGUCCUCAUCAUGGGAUGGAGAAUCGACUGGUCAUGCAGACAUUCUAUCAUGGGCUCAGCAACAGCACUCGUGAAACCAUGAAUGCUGCUACAGGAGGAACAUUCUUAUCACUUACUAUCUCUCAAGCCACUGCUCUUGUGGAAAAGAUGGCCUCCAAUCAAGGUUGGAGUGAAGAAAGAACUCAGACCCGCAAGAGAGGAGGAAUGCACCAGCUCAAGGUGGUAGACAUGCUAGCUGCCAAGAUGGACCUGCUGAUGAAAAGACUUGAUGAAAUAACCAUGGAAAAGAAAGAAGUUAUGCACAUUCAUGAUUCUGGCAUGACUUCUGAAGAGUGUGGAGAAACUGGGCAUACAGGUUCCAACUGCAGAGAGCUAAAGGAGGAUGUGAAUUACAUCAACAACAACAACAACUACUACUACCGUCCUCAUUAAAAUCAAGGCUACGACCAGCAAUAGUGACAUAACUACUCAAGUAAUUAUCAAGGCAAUAAUUCUUACAAUAACACUAAUCAACCACCUUUAAGAGAGUUAGUGCUUAAUUAGGGCAAACUAAUGGAUAGCGUGUAUAAGAAACUAGCAUCUAAUGAUAAAACUUAAGAAUCAAUUAAUAUUAGAAUGGAAAGUUUUUCAAAUGCUAUCAGGAAUUAGCUUAGCUUUAAUAAGAUGCUAGAAUCUCAGUUGCAACAGCUUGCUCCUUUUGCUACCACCAAUGAUCAAGGUAAGAUUCCUGGAUAACCAGGGAAUAGAAACUGCAAAUCUUGUAGACACCUUUAAUGCAGGAAGCUACCAAAGUGACCCUCCGAAAGGAACAUGGUUAGACUCGUCUCUACCAACCAAGAAGGAUGAUCUAGGGAGACCAGUUAUUCCAAUCUUCAUUGGAGGUGCAAACUUCGAUGAGACAAUCUAUGACUUCGGUGCAAGCAUCAACAUCAUGCCUAAGGUGGUAUAUGAGAAACUUUUCAAUUAUCUUUUAUCACACACAACCAUGUGUUUGUAGCUUGUAGAUCAGUCACUCUGCUACCCCAUGGGAAUCAUGGAGGAAAUCUGCAAACGAGUAGGCAACUCAUAUGUUCCUACAGACUUCACAUGACUAACAUAGGCACCAAUGAGAGGUCGCCUAUUAUCUUGGGACGACCAUACUUGAACACUGCCGGAGCUAUCAUCUAUGCCAGCACUGCCAAGAUUGCUUUCAACAUUAAGGGCAAUAGGGAAGCCUUUUCUUUCAAGAAUAGGACAUUGUCAUUCCCUGCCCAGAAGGAGACUAUCGGCGGUAGAAACAAGAGUAACACCUAGAACAAGGCCAAGACCAAUAACAAGGGCAAACAAAAGGCCUAGAAGACUGAGACAGCACAGAUGGUCACUACAAUCCGCAUGGAGUAUGACCACCUGCUCAAGUCCCCACAUCUAAUCAAGAAGGAUGGUCUUUGUGUCCCGACCAUUCUAUGCUCCAUCAAUAGAUGCUACUUCUACCACACUAUCUGUGACACCAGAUCAGGCGUCAACAUUGUGGCCAAGGUAACAUAUGAAUUCUUAUAUGAUACUAUGCCUAUGUAACCUACCUAUGCGCAGCUGCAGUUGGUAGACCUGUCCUUUCGCUUUAUGGAUGGGAUAGCCAAAAACAUGGUUGUCCAGAUUGAAGACCACUACGUCCCCACUGACUUCUUGGUCGUCGACAUGGGAGAAGAAUGUGAUCGUUCCUCAACACUACCAAGGCCAUCAUAUACAUUGGAACAGGGGAUCAUAUACAUUGGAACGAGGGAUCCUAGGAAGACCGUUCCUCAUCACUACUAAGGCCAUCAUAUACAUUGGAAUAGGGGAGGUCCAUUUCUAAUUCCCCUUAGAAAAGGUACGCCUACAUUUCAAUAGCAAUUAUAUAAUUGAGGAAGAUCCCAAGAAGAAUAGGUCAAGAAGAAGGCGACACACCUACCACCAGAAGAAAAAGAGUGUUGUAGAUGGAUGGGCUGACUAUGAAGGAGAGGUUUCAAGAUUCGAAGAUUAAUACCUUGACGAGAACACCGCCAAGGAGAAAGUACCAGUAGAAGAAGAGAUAAUGAUUCCAGAUGUUGGGUAUUCUUAACAUCAUUACCAAAAGUAGACUAAAUUCUCUAAAUCUAGUAACAGUGCCCAAAAUGCCAAACCUAUCCCUCAUACCACUUAAGCCAAGUUGUCAUCCCCAGCAUGACAUGAGAGACGCGGUAUUGAAAUAUGCAAUUGCUCUUCUAAAUAAAUAAUGAAUGGGAUCUGCAAGCGUACAGAUUAAUACCGAUGUAGCAUUUUAACCGGGAAGUAUUCCAGGUAUCGUUAUUUAUAUUUUUACCACUGGGAAGGGAUUAGCAAUCAUCAAUAUUGAUUACAGAAUAGAAUAUGAGAUUGAGCAUCUAUCAUUGCAUGUAUAAUUGAGAACAUUAUAUCUAACUCUUCAUACAGGGAUAAGUGUCACAUAAAAGAUAUAUGAAAUAAUAAUAGUGACAAGGAUAACUAAUCUGAUCUAGCCACAUAAUAAAUAUGAUAAGCACCUCAAUUAGAUACUCUAGAAAGUCAUUAGCAUGGUAUUAGAACGAACCACAAGAAUAUUCCCUAAGUUAUUCUCAACUAUAUAGUCUAGCAUUAUCAUAGUUAGUGCAAGCAUACUUAGAAAUCAUUGUGAGACAAGACUACGCCCAUGCAUAGUGAUAUUAGCAAGGAAUAUGAGAAACAUAGCAAUCACUCCCCUGUAAUAAUGUUGCUCUGCCAGCCCAAUACACGAGAGGGGGACUAUAUAAGAAUCAAUGAAGCUGUCACUAUCACGAACUACCCCACGAUCUGGCAUAUUGGGUACAAUCGCAGAUAAAUACAGUAUAAGCACCACGCCUACAUAAUAUCUAUCAUUUACCCAUGGAUCCGAUGGAUAAACGCUAUACGAUCCUAAGCAUGUAUAUAGAUCCAAUCUAACUAAGCCAAGUACAUAACUAUGAUAAACUAAGAACAAUAUAAUCUUGAAUAUAAGCAAGUAGAGCAAAGUUAUAAGCAAUAUAUUGAAGUAGAACAAAGUCAUAUUCAUAAUAUUGAAGAACAAAGAUAAUUAGAAAAACAAUUAGAAGCACAAUUAGAGAAUUACCAAGAAUCCUCUUGACAGAUCCGGAAACCAAUCGAAGAUUGACUCCUUCUAGUUCUAAUCCUAUGUAGCUAUGCUAAUCUAGAUAUCUAAUUGAUGUGGUGGCUCUAAUCUUGAUCAGAGGCUUCUUCUCCCUUGAAGAACAAUGAAUUAGGGCUGAGAGGCUCUCUCCUCCAGGGGCCAGAGGGUCUGGUUUUAUAGUCCCUUCUAGUGAAUAUGGGCCAUUGGAUCAAACCGACAUAGAUUGUAUGGUUUAGAUUCAUCCUUUAGGUCGGUGGAGAUCUCCCACGAAGCAGAGUCCUGAUUGGACUUAGGAGGUGGGCGGGCGCCCUGAUCACCUGGGCGGGCACCCAGGGUCAGGCCCCGUUUCGCUUCCGCUUCGGUCUCGUGGCUUCUGGAGUCUUCUAGAUGUAUGAUAAUUGCGCGGCACGUUAAUAUCUCUAUGUAAUCCCGACGUGUGGGCCUUUCUUCCAUAUUUCCUGAUAACCCCCUGCAGAAAUAGACAAACACCAAAACUCGUGAAAUUUUGUCACAUAAAACCCUAAGUCUAGAUGUUGAUUUCAUUUGGAUCCUUUUCUUUGUUUAUUUGAUAAUUAAAUUUGAUACUUAAUGUAACACCCCAGGUGUUUGUCACUUGCUAAAUACUAGAUUUGAACUCAAACAUGACAAGUUCAAUGGUAAUAAAGAAGGUCAAAGUCAAUCUAUGAAAGUAAACCCCAACUUGGGCUUGGUGGAUGCAACCUUGCUUGCAUAUAUGCCUUUUUAAAAGGUAUGCUUGGAUGAUGCUAAUGGAACCUUUUUCAUGUGUCUUAUAUCCAUCCCAAUCUAUGUUGGUCUCUGGAAAAGUUUGGUGAAGUUUGGAAUCAAGAAGUCACAUGAAAUGAUAUGUUAUAUCCUUGUUGGAAUGGCUCUAUUAAGGAAAUAGAAUCAUGGGUCACCAACCAAACCUUGCAAACUUGCUCAUAUGACUCUAGAUGAAUUAUACAACAAAAGUCAUGAAGGGUUCAUGUUGAGCUUAGGUCAAGAAAAUGCUUCAAUUGGUCUAAAACCCUAUUUGGAGCUUUAUCGGGUUACUGCUUUGACCAAGGUGAAAGAUUGACUUCGGUUGCAGUUAUGAGGUUUGACCCUAAAUGAAAGUUGUGGUUUUGCUUCUGUAGAAGAAACUUUAUUCAAAGGUCAAGAACCAAAUCAGCCUGCAAACAGUUCAAACAGAGGCUCGAAGUUCGAAUCAGCUGCUGUUUUUGAGCCCCGAGAAAUAGUUCUAAGUCCCUAGAAGGACAGCAGUGAGUUAGCUCUUUCAUGAUGUUUUAUUAUGCAAAUUCAUAUGGUAACUCAAUUAGAUUCCUUAAUAUGAGUUGGAGUACUCUUCCUGAUGAAAGCAAUGGAUCAAGUAUCAUCAAAUUUGGAGUUCAUUUGGAUGUUCCAAAGUAGCUCCCAAAACAGCAAAUGAUUAUUUUAUCGCUAAACGGACGUCGACCCGUUGGCAUGCCGUGUUCUCGUGUUUUUGUAAAGCAACUCAAGCUAGUCCAAGAAUAAAAGUUGUGGAUAAUUGUUUGGAGAAGAGCAUACAAAAAGUUGCAUCAAGUUUGACAUGAUUUGGACCAUCAAUUCUUGGUUUUGCUAAUCACCGUCAAUACGUUGACACUCGUGACUUGGCAUCUAAUUAUCUCUUAAUCUGUUAGUCUAAUGAUCUUGGUCACUUAAUCAAAGUUGGAGAGCAGGCCGAGGUGAGCAAACUUCGUUUUUGUCCCAAGGUCCAAUUCAGCCCGGAAAAGGCCCAAAAUCGCCUCCCACGCCGGCCACUUCGCUGCCCUCCACGUGCUCGAUGGAAUGGCUCCGUGGCGUUCAUGCAUGGACUGGCACCCCACCUCCAUUGCCACGCGCUGCCCUGCUCUCUACGCCUCCAGAAGUGGGCGCUGCACUCCCUACUCCUCCCUGCUCUCACUCUCUGCCCUCGCUCGCUCCUCCUUCGCUCGGUGCUCGCCCUGCUGCUCGCGCCGUCGCCAUGGCCGCCGUGGAAGCUCCUGCCGCCGCGUUCUCGCUGCUCCGGACCUCCUCACUCCCUGCAAGCGUCGUCGGUAGCUUCGCCUCCAUCUCCUACAUCUCGUGCUCGCGCUCGCCGUCCGAAUCCGUCGCCGUGGUCGCCGGCGUGCCGCCGCCGCCGCCGUCGGUGUGCGUGCGUGGCCGGACCGCCACGGACCACCUUUGGCCGAGCCGUGGCCACCUUCGGGUGCGGCUCAUUGCCCUGAUGUUUCCCCACCCCUCCAUCGCCGCCGACGAGGCUCCGACGAGCCGGAACAGGAAGCUCCGGCGAGUCUCCCCUGUUCUGUUCGCGACCAGGGACCUCGGGCUCAAAUUCAUCAAAAGUGAGGGGUUCAAAUGUGAAGUCAUGACACAUGUGAAUAGUACCUGCAGGGAUCUCUCGGUUGUAGUUUGUUUUGCAGAUAACUUAAGGGUCUCUGUGCAAAUCUGUUUUUCCUUCAUAUGGCUGAAGUUUGGAAAAUCAUCAUAAAUUGUAGAAAAAAAUCGUAAAAUAGCAAAUGUGGACUUUUUGGAAUCCUUGUGAAAUUCUCUAUGCAGUAGUUCUAUAAUAUGGCAUGGUUUAGUUUGACGUUUUAGUCGUAAAAAUAGAUUUAUGUAGUUAGGUUUUAAUUCCUUGUUAUAUUUGUCUUUUUCAUAAAUGCUGUGUUGUUGCCCAAAUAAAUGUGAAAAUAUUGUGACAUGUUUUCCAUAUGGUAUUUGAUGACUGGUAAAAGUUUCAUGAAUUUAGGAAUGAUAGAUUAAGAGUUAUAAAAAUAACAAAUGCCCUGUGUUGCUUUGCUCAUAUUCUGAGUGGGUCUGCAUGUUUGUAUUGUUUGGCUCAGUUAAGUUGUGAAUCUUGCCUGGAUGAAAAUAUAUAAGUUUUAGUACCUUUCAUAAGCUUUCCAAAAAGAUAAAUAGCAUAAUUUUUGGUUAAGCACAUGUUUAGUUAUAGUGGUCCAAAGUACUGUUCCAGUUUCUGUCUAAAUCCAGACAGGGUUGCAUUGUUUGUAAUGUAAGACCUUUUUAGUUGUAGAUUUAGCUGUACAUGUUUAUAACAAAGUUGUUCACAAUUAGAUAAGGUUUCUAGAAAGUAUAUAACCAUAAUUUAUGGACAUGUGAAACUCAUGUUAUGGGUGUUUAAUGUAGCAUGACAGAUUCUGUCUGUGUUUUGGACAGAGAUAUCUUCAUGGGAUUAAUUGACCUUGUUAACUCUAGAUUCAUAUUUAGAUGAUAAUAAGAAAGUUGUAGGUAACUUUAUGAUCUUUCUAAAAAGAUAAUAAUCAUGUUUGCUGGAGUUCUACAACUCCAGUUAUGCUUCCUUGAAUUGCCUAUCAGUUUUCUGUUUGUAAUUGUACCUCUACUGUUUGGCAGCAUGAGCAGUUUUAUUUGUGCAAUUAAUUCCAUGAUAUAAAUGAUGUUUUCUGUGAAACUUGUAUAUAUAAAAGAUGUAGAUAAAUUACUAAUAUAUCUUGUUGUAAAGUUUCAUGUCAUUUGGCUAAGUGGUUUGUGAGUUACAGUAGUAUGAAUUUCAUCCUUUAAAAUGCUUGUUCUCUGGAAAUUCCUGGACCAGAUUCUAUGGUUAUGCAUGUUUGACUUGGUUAACUUGUUAAUCAUACUGAGAUGAUUAAAUAUGAAUUGUAGAUAAUUUUAUAUUCUUUCCAGAAUGUCCUAUUGCAUAGUUUUUGGAGUUGUGUAACUCCAGUUGUGAUUUAAUUACUGAGUUGUUGCAUGUAUGUCCAGAAUUGCUGAAAUACACGAAUGCUUAAUUGCUUUAAUUGGUGUGUGCUAACUAUGAUGCAUGACUUUAGUGUUGAUUAAGUAAUACACUUGUAAACUUGUUAAACUUGUGUCAUGAUUUAUAUGUUUGCUCUAUAUAAUUGGUUGUGUGAUGUUAGCUAAAUAACUUUAGAUGCCUCUGUCUUGCAUACUUUUAUGUGAUGCAUGUUGUGUUAUUAUUCCUUAUAUUCAUGCACUUGCAUCUUGCAUCUCAUCUAGGUGCGCUAGAUGAAUCACGUGAAGGGCUUGGUGUGGGAAUAAACCCGAAGACGGUGUUGGGUGGACCCAUCCCGAAGGUGGAAGGACUGAGCAAGUGUUGCGACCUAAGAUGUCAUCAAGAUGGAGCAACUAACUGAACUGACUCCGUGUUGAUCCCAGGCAAGCCCCGGAGCAUUAUAAGUCUCCCACUACUUUUGAAUGCAGUUGAGAAUAUAUGUUAUAUAUGUAUUGUUGCAUUAAGUAUAGGAGUUGGGUGAAACCCUUGUUGCAUAAACACUCCUUGUCCAGCAAAUAUACCUAUAACCCUAUGUAGAUUCAGGAUCGAAUCUAAAUGCUUAGCUAUGCUUAGACCGGUAGAAGCCAGGUGAUGUCCUGUCACCUGAGCGAGAUAGGUGGACACCUGAAAAGGUUGGCUAUAUAUGCUAUCAUGGAAGUAACCAAGUGAUGAGGAUGAAUAAUUGGAGACCGGGCGGGACGAUGAUAGAGAAGUAACAAGACAUGGAGGUCUUGGGUGCCUAUCUAUCCCCGCUUGUGUCGAUUAAGGACCGAUCGUUGACGGCCCUCUUGUCAUGUUGAACGCAUGCCCCACACUUAGCUGGAAGGAUAAGUCGUUCCGACCGCGAAGCCUGAACACUAUCCGGGCCGGGAAUCGGCCCGAUGUACGCGCUGUAUUGGUGAUGGUUGAGGAGAACGACGAGGGCGCGACGCGCAACCUUGGUAUACCUUGGAUACCUCGGUCGCCGGAACGGUCCUCGGGUACGGGCGGUGCCUGUCGAACCCGCGAAUUGGUCCUGGAUAGUGUAAUAUGGUGACCUGUAGCUCACUUUGGCCGGUGAGUGUGGUUUGUGUGGGGAAUAACUCGCCAGCUGGUCAGAAAUCGAUUCGAAUCGCCAUCGCUCCUGGAUAGUGAGCACUUGACUUGAGCCCCGUCCUCGUAGUAAUGUUUAUGGAACACUUGGAUGGUUAUGGUAUGAUGAUGUUGGAAAUGCCACAUAAAAUAUGGGUACUACUGUUGUAUCUUAAUCAAGUGAUUGCUCUAGUACAGGUGCUAAUAUAGAUGACAGGUAAUGAUUAUUAACUUGAGCUAAAUACCUGAAGGAUUACUUAGUUGCAACUUAAGUUUUUUUUAUGCAAAAAGUGUUGUCAAGCUAGCUCCACCAAUAAAGCCUUGCAUACUCCUUGGUGUCAUAUUAUUUCUGGUUUAUGACGGGUAAGUCUAGCUGAGUACCUUCUCGUACUCAGGGUUUAUUUCCACUUGUUGCAGGUUGUGAUGUAUCAUGGCUACUACAAGAGUUGGAUGACUCCUACCAUAUUAGAGGAGUAAGAUCAUGGGCAUGAUCCUUCUUAGUUACCUCAUCUAUGUUGCUUUUGCUGGAGUUGACCUGGAUACUGGCAUGUAUUUGAAAUGAGGGCAAUAUUAGUUUCAAAUUACUUUGCUUCCGCUACUUUUCAACUUAAGUUGUAAUAACUAUAUUGAACUCAGAUGUAUGUCAAACUAUUUGUGAAAUGGAUGUAACAUGUGACUUGUUAUGUUGAAUCACUACGAUCUUGGCUGGUAUGUUGGUUGGUUUGAAAUCCCUCGUGAUUUCACGGACUACCGGGUUUAUGAGAGUUCGAUUACGGUAAAGCAACUGCUUUGGCGGGAGUUUUUCGUAGUUGAUCUCUUGUAAAUUGGGCGGUUCUGUUACACUUAAGGACCGUCAACAAACUCCCCCAAGCUUACCUCUUGCUCGUCCCUGAGCAAGGAUAGACUCAGCUAUGGAUCAUAAGUUGUUGCAAUAUUUUAAAAAUUGACAGUACACAUGCUUUUUAAAUAAGAUCUCUUCUCUGAGUUAGAGUAAACUGUCAAGACUUAAAACUUACUUACUUUACCUUUACCAUGGGACUUGUAACCGUCACUUCUGUCUUGAGUGGUUAAAAGAUAGAACAGUCUAGUCAAGUGCCAUGUCUCUUAUUCUUGAUCAGCUAUAGCUCUAGAGUUUUUGCAGAUUUUCAAAUAAAACUCAGAGAUUCCUUGUAUGAUUCUCUCAAAUCUCUCUUUUGUGGUAUUUCUGGAUCCUUACCAAGACAGUGAUGGUAUAUGCCUUCUCUCAAGAUAUGUAGUAUUUGUUGUAUGAAGCAUAGUGACAUUAUCUUAUCUCUCACCCUAGUCUAAUAAGGCUUUAAUAUCUGGAGCUCAUAGGUGGGAGAUAAAAUAUACAUACUUACAAGACAUUUAUUGUAUAGUCAAACCAUGGAUCCUAAGAAACAAGUCAAUAAGUUUAAUCAAGAUGUGCAUGUGUGGCGAAUGAAUGGUGUAUGGUGAUGAUGGUGAUAACAAUGGUGAAAACAAUGGUGGUGGAAGUCUAAUUCUACUUUGCUCUUUUGAGGGGAUACAUACCUUCCUUGCUUUUUGAAUAGUGAGGAGAGUGAGAUGCUCUCUUUUUUUUCUCAGGUGGGUAUCUUGUACCCCUAAUUCUACUGUCGGACACUUGUCCAUUUUUACCUCUCGUCUCACUUUUUCUUUUCUUUCGAGGUUCCGAGCACUUGCUCCUUUUUAUUUCCUCGUAUUUAUUUAUUUUUUUAGAGCACUCAUCUCUUGAGAUAAUAUAGCAAGUGGUAGUAACAAGAUAACUUGAGCAUUUAUUUCACAAGGGAAAAACAAAAAUAUUUUUAGUUAUUCUUUCCCGGAUUGGGAGUAGAAUAUUUUUAGGUGAUUCUGGAGACGGAAAUGGAUGGAUAUAUGUAGAUGGUACUUCCAGAGUAGAAGUAGCAUAUAUGAGUGAACGUGCAAGUGAAUCUUGAUUUAACCACAUGACAAGCUCCUAAGGGUCUACACAGCUUGACCACACUCAAUGCUCAUAAGCAGUAAAUAGUAAAUGUGUGGCUCAAAGUCUAGCAAGCAUGUAUAUACGACUGUGGUAGGAAUUUAAACUCUCAUCAUACAGGAACUCAUCAUGCAACAUUUUAAAGAUUUUCAAAGAUAAAAUUCUCCAGAAUUCUAACAUCUCUAGAAACAGAUAAAUAACAGCUCAACCUUCCCAUAUCGUAUCCGUUAACAACUUAGACUUCAGAUCAAGUUUUCAUCCCACAAGUUUAGGUCUAGGGCAAGCUUUAAAUUAUAACAGUUAUAUCUAAACUUGAGAGAGAACUUAAAAUGUUCAAAUUAGGCAGAGCAACUAUUCAUUAUAUCCAUGCUUAAGUUUUAUUUAGAUACAGAUUAGCAUAGCCACUUUAUUUAUUUAUUUAUUAAACACACUAAGCAAAAGACAUAUAUAUAUAUAAGCAUAAAAUCUUUAUUUGGUUUUUCAUAGUUAUGUAUAUUUAUAUUCUAAUAUAAGUAUAAAGAUAGAUAGAAAUACUUAUCGGGAUAAAUGGGGGUGCACUCCCCCAAGCUGAAUUUUGACGUAAUUUCCCUUGAUGUAGCUAGCAGGCGGCAGAGUGAAAGGAUCUAAACAAUGCCUAGAGGGGGGGUGAAUAGGCGUAUCUAAAAAAUUCUACACAAAACUCAAAGUCACUUGUCAGCAACUGUCGGAAGUCUCGACAGUUUGGGUCAGAACUUCCGACGUUGUCAGAAGUUCCAACGCAAAAUGUGAGCAGUUCCGACACCUACGGGAAAAGAACUACAAGUACUUAAAUGAACUUUGUGAGAUCCACAACUUACAACACCACUCUCUAGUGGAUAGAAGAGGAUGUUGAGAGCCUUCCUUGACACCAAGAGUUCCCUAAACCGUAGAUCAAGACCAAACCCUAAAAGGAGGUAGAGAGACAAGCAUAUACAAGUAAUACGAGUAGAACUUAAGAAAAGAAACCACAAGAGACACAAGGAUUUAACCCGAGGUUCGGCAACGCCACUUAGGAGUUCCUACGUCCUCGUUGUUGAGGUGACCACUAAGGUCGGAGUCUCUUUCACCUCCUUGCCUCCCUCAAAGUAACCACAAAGGUCACUUGAGCUUUCCACUAAGAAAAACAGGGUAAUACAAACUUUCCAAGGCUCUUCCACAAGAUGGAAGCUCUUGGACGACGCCUAGCCGGCUAGGGUUCCAAGAACCCAAGAGUAAUAAACUCAAAACCUGCCGGCUUGACAAAGAGAUCAAGUGCUCAAGCUUCUCAAGGCGUUGCUCUAACUUAACCACUCUCCGAUCACUCCAAAACUAAGGUAAAUAGAAGUUGGUAGCAAGGAGGAGGAGAAGAGGGGAGUCUUGAAAGCUUGGGAGCUGUUUUGCCUGAGGGUUGGUCGCGAAGAAUGAGUGGAUAACGGUUAGAAACACAGAGGGAGCUAUUUAUACUACUAGGAGAAAGGUCUGCUCAGAUCUACGUCGGAAGUUCCGACAAAGUGUCGGGACUUCCGACACUCACAGGGAAACACUGUUGAGCAGGCAGCCGAGGUCAGCGCAGGAAGCCAGUGUCGGAACUUCCGACAAGAGUCGGAACUUCCGAUGGGUCAGCACUGCUGACGCUGGCCAGAACUGCUGGCACUCGUGCGAGACAGGCUUGGCGUCGGGACUUCCAACGCUUGUUGGGACUUCCGACGCGUGUGCGCACAGAACUCAACGUUGAGAGUUCCGACUCACGUCGGAACUUUCGACGCUCACAGUUCUCGCGCAGCACGUCGGGAGUUCCGACCCGCGUCGGGACUUCCGACACCAGAAGACACAGAAAUUAAUCCUAAGGCAAGAAAGGUGCUAGAGUGUCUCUAAAAAGAUUUAGUUGAAAUAACUUGAGCACUCUAUCUUCCCCAAACCAACAACCUUUGAAUCCCUCUUGAUAGUACGGCAUACCUAUCCCCAAGUUAACAUAAAAACGAAUAAGCUCUAGAUUGAAUCCAACGCCUUUCUCACGAACGAAGAUUGGGGGAUACCAUUUUAUCUUAAGUUGAACCUUUGCAACUUUCAUGAAUCUAGUAGCUGCAGCAAAUCUCAAAUACAACGCAUUAGUCCCUAAAUUGGAUGUCAUCAAUACACCAAAACCCACAUAAGGGGCAAAUGCACUUUCAAUCUCCCCCUUUUUGGUGCUUGAUGACAACCAAGUUUGGGCUUACAAAUGAUAAUCAAAAAGCUUUUGAAGUCCAAAAUUUACAGCGAGCUCCCCCUUUGAUGUAUGCAUGAAUUUGAAUUUCAAUGGUGAUUGUCAUCACGUAAGAAACAUACAUCAAAGAACAAGCUCCCCCUAAAUUUUGCACUCCGUGGGGUGCUAUAAGUGUGAACAAGUAUAACCGUGAAAGAGUAUGCAAUAUGACAGUUUAUAUUCACACAACAAAGUAGAGAGAAAAGGAUGGCCAAUAAACCAAGAUAGACCUUAAGUGCAUGGCCAUCACAAAAACUCAAUCAACAAACAAACAAAAGAGACAAGGACAAGUAAACAAAGUAGAUAGAUAAAAUAUUAACAACUUGUCCUACAAUCAACCAACUCACAUAACAUAUAUAAUGAUGUCCAUCACAUAGUGCCACCACGAGACAUAGAUAAUCCAAACUAAAAGGUUUUUAAGUCUACCAACCACGACAUCUAGCUUAUUACAUGAAAGAUCAAAGCCUAACACUCCCCCUUUGUCAACAAGUGCCAAAAGGGGUAGGCCGCGCUAGAGAAGAAACAGCUACUCAAUGUCAAAGUCCUCAUCGUCACCGUCAUCAUCAUCAUCAUCGUCAUCAUCAUCAUCAUCAUGUUGUUCUUCAUGGUACCCCUCAUCCUCAGGGGCAGCUACACCUUUGCCAUGAGGGCGAGAAGUAGCCUCAUCCUGAUAAGCUUGGCAAGCCUCAUCAUAAGAGCAAGAGGAUCACGUGGAGGCACAAACGGAGGAGGGGGCGAAGAGACAACACCAGCCUGCUGCUUAAGACGAUAGAGCCUCUCCUGAAUAUCAUGCUCCCUCUGAGCACCAGCACAACACUGUCCAAACAUAUAAGUCAUGUGAAACUUGAACUUGCUGGGCUUCUUGCCUUUGCCAGAGGAGGUGAGUGGCUGAGAGCUGGUGGAGCGGGAGACAGCAGGAGGCGAAGGAGCAGCACGACGGGAAUGAGCGGAGGAAGGACCACCACGGCGAGGAGGAGGAUCGGCACCACGAGCCUUCAAAGCCCUAGCUGCAUGGAUGGAGACCCGAUUGGCCAAUCUCAGCACCUUGUGAUUGGAGCCAUCAGUAGGAAAGCGAAUGCCUGAGACUUGCUGAAUGACAUGCAUGAUGUAAGGAGCAUAUGGAAGGUUCUUGACCGAAUCCUCAGAAGCAUCAUGUAUCCUGUUCCAGAUGUACCGGCUGACCAAGAACUUCUGGAAAUCAUCUCCAAAACGAGCUAGGACCUUCUGAGAAUCAUCCCUAAGAAAAGUGGAGUCUCCUUCCUUGGGGUACAACACCUGCCUGAGAAUGUUGUUGAGCACAUAGUAAUAGGGCUUCAGAUAAACAGUCUGUCCAUCAGCAGGAAAACCCUCCAAAUACAUAAACUGGUACUCAGACAUAGCCACAUCCUCAUAAUCAGUAAUCUCCGCUGCACGGCGAUCAUGCCCAUUGAAACCAAGCAAACGAGCAAAGGUUACAAAAUCAACCUUGUAGUGACGUCCCUCAGUGGUCCAGUGAAUAACAUCAGUGUCACUCUCGCUGUCAGUCUCAUGAAAAUAUGAAGCAUAAAACUGCAUAAUCACCUCAUUGUUCCAAUGCCUGUGAAGCUCCAUCAAGCCCGAGAUACCCAUGUUGCGCAAGUCUUCCACCAUUUGCCGAAUCUCUUGAUCUUUGAAGGUGGAGGUGAGGGAGUACUCAAUGAUAUACUUCAUUUGAAUAACCGGAGGCUUCCCUUUCUUAAGAGACUUGCGAUAAAGAAUAGAAUCAUAAUAGUAGAAAUGGAAGUAAUGCCAAAAGCGAUACUCAAGGCGGAGAUCCUUCUCAUCUUCAGCAUAAGGGUUGCGGCUUCGGAAGGACCUGAUGUCGCGGACGUUGUGGCGGAAAUCAAUCGGACGAGGAGGAGCCCAACCACCCAUGUCGGGAGCGAUCUCGGGGCACCGCACGACGGGGGCCGGAGAGUCGAAGGGGACAAGCGCGGAGACGGGACACUCCGGCCCAUCAUACGGGGAGCGCACUUGAGCGGAGAUAGUCCGCCCAGCACGCUCAAGCUCCUCUUCGGUAGGGUCAACCUCGGUGUCGCGCCCGGUGGGAUCAGGAGCCCGAUGCGAGGACGGAGGGGGUGCUGCCACCGGAGCCGACGGGCCCUGCCUAGAGGCACGGGCAGCGGCACGACGAGAGCCACCAGGACCAGCCUGAGGGAGAACGGCCUUGGUGCGGGGGGCAGCGGAACGGUCUUGGUUUGUCUUGGACCGCUUCUCAACAUGGCGAGAGGGGCUUCCACGAGUCAUCGCUGUGAGACAAGAGACGGACAACUAAGGCGACAAGCGAAGGAACAGAGAACUUUCGGUGUCCGAAGUCCCGGCAACUGUCGGAACUCCCGGCAGCCGUCGGAACCCCUGACGCACGAGAUAACACAAACUCAAAAGAAAACGCACGGGAAGAAAAGAGAAGAGAGGGGAAAUCACCUGAGAGAAAGAAAAGACACGCGCGACGAAGGUCAGAGGAGGAAUAGAGGAGAGCCGCGCACGGGGCACGCCCACGCACGACGCGCGAGCCUUCCAGGCAGCACGGGGGGCGCACCGCGCACGAGGGGCGCACCACGACCGGAGGAGCACGGCGGCCACACGACCGCGAACCACCAGAGGAGGAGGGGGGAGGGGGCGCACCGCGACCUUGCAGGCCAGCGAGACAGCGGCAGAUCUGGAUCCGAUUGGGAAGGAGGAGGUGCGGGGGGGAAAGAAACGAACUGCGGGGGUGGGAGAAAUGACUGCGGGGGAAGAAGUGACUGCGCCACGGUCAAGGGGUAAAAGGGGGUCAAGCCAGAGUCAAGACUGCCGCACGCGCUAGAUCUACGUCGGGACUUCCGGCUCACGUCGGAACUUCCGACACGGGCCGGGACUCCCGACGCCAGCUAGGACUCCCGGCUGACGGCUCAGCCCGCAACUAUGUCGGAACUCCCGACGCACGUCGGGACUUCCGACACAGGUAGACCCAAAAACUUCAGAAUUUGAACUCUCCCUGCAAUAUGGGGUAUAAAUAUGAUGGACACAAAUGAUUUCAAGGAUGACUAGGUGACAAACAAGCAUUACAAAACUAUAGUCAUCCAUGAAACCUAUAUUAAAUUAGAUUUUGAAAGUCGGCAAACAAACUUUGCAAACAAUUUUCUCCUACCUAGAUCAAUCAAAUUAUGUGCAAGACAUCAAGUUAGGUUACGAGAAUCAAUGAUAUUUAGCUCACUCCUCAAAGCACAAAAUCUUGACUCAUCUAGGGGCUUUGUGAAGAUAUCGGCUAGUUGUUUAUCGGUGCUCACAUGUUGAAGUGCGAUAUCUCCUUUGGCUUCGUGGUCUCUCAAAAAGUGAUGCCGGAUGUCUAUGUGCUUUGUUCGAGAGUGGUUUACAGGGUUGUUUGCCAACUUAAUGGCACUCUCGUUGUCACACAAAAGGGGAAUCUUGGUUAGCUCACAGCCGAAGUCUUUGAGGGUUUGCUUCAUCCAAAGUAGUUGGGCACAGCAUGCACCGGCCACCACAUAGUCGGCCUCAGCGGUGGACAAAGCAAUGGAGUUCUGUUUCUUAGAGCUCCAAGACACCAAAGACCUACCAAUAAAUUGGCAAGUCCCGGUGGUACUCUUUAGACUUACUUUGCAACCGGCAUAAUCCGAAUCGGAAUAGCCAAGUAACUCGAAAUUGGAGCCCUUGGGAUACCACAAGCCAAGAUUAGGAGUGUGCACUAAAUACCGAAAGAUUCUCUUAACAGCCGUUAAAUGACAUUCUUUUGGACUAGCUUGAAAUCUUGCACACAUGCACACACUAAGCAUAAUAUCGGGCCUAGAUGCACAAAGGUAAAGGAGGGAUCCAAUCAAGGAGCGAUAUACCUUUAGAUCGAUGUCUUUUCCUCCUUGAUCAAGGUCAAGAUGCCCACUUGUUGGCAUUGGUGUUUUGAUGGGUUUGGCUUUGUCCAUGUCGAACUUCUUUAGCAUAUCGUAGGUGUACUUCGUUUGACUUAUGAACGUGCCAUCUUUGAGUUGCUUGAUUUGAAAUCCAAGAAAGAACUUCAACUCACCCAUCAUAGACAUCUCAAACCUAUUCGUCAUAAUCCUACUAAAUUCCUCACAAAAAUCUUCAUUGGUACUACCAAAUAUUAUGUCAUCGACAUAUAUUUGGCACACAAAAAUAUCAUUGUUGACUUUGCGAGUAAAUAAGGUAGCAUCGGCCUUUCCUAUCUCAAACCCUUGUUUGAGUAGGAAGUCUUUUAAGCAAUCAUACCAAGCUCUAGGGGCUUGUUUAAGCCCAUAGAGUGCUUUGUCGAGCUUGUAGACGUGAUUUGGAAACUUGGGAUCUUCAAAACCCGGUGGUUGCUCAACAUACACCAACUCGGAUAGGGGGCCAUUUAGAAAUGCACUCUUCACGUCCAUUUGAUAUAGCUUGAAAUCAUGAUGGGCAGCAUAGGCUAGUAGAAUACGAAUGGAUUCUAGCCUUGCCACCGGUGCGUAGGUCUCCCCAAAAUCCAAGCCUUCUAUUUGAGUGAAACCUUGAGCCACCAAUCUUGCCUUGUUCCUUGUCACCACGCCAUGCUCAUCUUGCUUGUUCCGGAAGACCCAUUUGGUUCCAAUCACAUUUUGGUUGGGCCUUUCCACCAAGGACCAGACUUCAUUCCGUGUGAAGUUGUUCAACUCUUCUUGCAUGGCCAUCAUCCAAUCUUCAUCAUCAAGUGCUUCUUCCACCCUACGAGGUUCCAGAGGAGAAACAAACAAGUAAUAUUCACAAAAACUUGCUAAACGAGAGCGUGUCGUUACCCCUCGUCGAAUGCUUCCCAAAAUGUUAUCAAUGGGAUGAUACCGCUGAAUUGAUUGAUGUACUCUAGGAUGUGGUACUUGAGUUGAUCUUUGAAUGGGGCCAUCAUCUUCUUCAUCAUCAUAGCCAUGAUCUAUUGGAAGACCAAGACCAUGAUCUUGUGGAUGAUUAUCUUCACUUGAGUGGUCAAGGUUAAGAUGAGGUUGAGCUUGCACAUUGUUGCCACAAUCUUCAUUGAUUCUUGAUGCGGAAGCCUCACCAUGCUCAUUUGAUGAGCCAUGAUGAAUGGUAGAAUCAUGAUCAAUAUGCACUGCACUUUCUUCAUCGUCAUCUUCAAUGGGCUUUAUCUCACCAAUUGCUAGCUUCUUGAUAGCUUCUUGUGCAGCUGCUUCAUUUCCUACAAUCUCAACAUUGACUUGCUCCUUUUGAGAGCCGUCGGUUUCAUCAAAGGUCACGUCUACUGCGAUUUCAAUCAAACCGGAGGUUUUAUUGAAAACACGAUAUCCAUGUUCGUUAGUACCAUAACCAAGCAUUAAACCUUCAUCAACCUUAGGUGCAAACUUUGAGCUUUUGGACCUUUUGUUAAGUAUAAAACACUUGGAUCCAAAAACUCUAAAGUAGUGCACCUUGGGUUUUUUACCAGUUAGAAGUUCAUAGGCGGUCUUUUCUCUUUUCUUGUGAAGAUACAAGCGGUUGAUAGCAUGACACGCCGUGUGAACCGCUUCCGCCCAAAAGUUCACCGAAGUCUUGUAUUCAUCCAACAUUGCUCUUGCGGCUUCUAUGAGUGUCCGGUUCUUUCUCUCCACAACACCAUUUUGUUGAGGAGUGUACGAAACCGAAAACUCAUGCUUGAUUCCUUCUUCAUCAAGGUACUCUUCGAUGUUGGUAUUCUUGAACUCCGUCCCAUUGUCACUUCUAACUUUCUUGAUCUUGACAUCAAACUCAUUUUGAGCUCUUCUUGCAAACUUCUUGAAAAUGCCUUGGACCUCACUUUUAUCACGCAAAAAGAAAACCCAAAUGUAACGUGAAUAAUCAUCAACAAUCACAAACCCAUAUUUGUUACCACCAAUGCUUAUGUAAGCCACGGGUCCAAAUAUGUCCAUGUGUAGCAGCUCCAAGGGCCUUUCGGUUGUCACGAUGUUCUUUGCGGGAUGCUUAGCUCCUACUUGCUUUCCCGCUUGGCAUGCACUGCAAAUCCUAUCUUUCUCAAAAGAAACAUUUGUUAGUCCAAGGAUGUGUUCGCCUUUUUGAAGUUUGGCCAAGUUCCUCAUCCCAACAUGGGCAAGUCGGCGAUGCCAUAACCACCCCAUGCCAGAUUUUGCCAUUAAACAAGUCUCGGGCUUUACUCUAUUUGAUGUGAAAUCAACUAGAUAGAGUUUCCCUUUUAGGUGACCCGUAAAUGCAAUAGAGGAAUCCUCCCUUCUGUAGACUUCCACACCCUUAUCCGUAAAGAGACAAUUGUAACCCAUUUCACAAAGUUGCGAAACGGACAACAAAUUGUAACUCAACGAAUUUACAAGUAAAACAUUGGAAAUGGAGUUAUCAUUUGAGAUAGCAAUUUUACCCAAACCAAGUACUUCUCCUUUUCCAUUGUCACCAAAUACAAUGUUUCCACUUUGUUCACCACUAGGUUGGAAUGAAGUGAACAUAUCUUUCUCUCCAGUCAUAUGAUUGGUGCAUCCACUAUCCAACACCCAACUUGUUCCACCGGAGGAGUAUUCCUACAAAGACAAAUCAAACUUGUGUUUUAGGUACCCAAAUAGAUUUGGGUCCUAGGGGUUAGUCACAUAAAGUUUUGGGACCCAAACACUCCUCAAUAUUUCCUUCCUCUUGUGAGCACCAACAUACUUUACCACGAUCUUGCCAUCUUUGCCCCAACAACACAUAUAGUCACUAGCAUAGCACCGUGGAUGUGGUGCUUGUGACUUGGGAGCUUCGGAUGACUUUAUCUUGCUUUCCUUGUUGCUUGUAGGUUGAAUCAAUGGAAGAUAAACCUUGUUGUUUGCCUUGUAGAUAAGCUCAUCAAGGGCGACACCCUUGUUGAACUUUACACAAGGCACUCCGUUCACAAUGUUUCUUCCAUUGACCUUUCCAUCAUACCUAUUAAAACCAAGUCCUUCCUUGAUGGAAGGGUGCCUAAAUGCCUUGUAUAUAGUCCUUUUAGAUUGCUCUUGGCAUUUACACCCCUUCUUAAUUUCCAUCUUCAACCUAUUGAUUUCCUUGUCCUUUCUCUCUAGCUCAACAAGGUUAGUGGCAUAAGCAUUUACAUCAACUUUGUAGCAUCUUUUACAACCAUUGCUAGUGGAGACAUUAGAGUCUUUGGUUGCCUUAGGAGAAGUCGAAGUGCUAGCCCAAAGAGUGUUAUAAUUUAACUCAAGAAUUCGGUAUUUUUCCUUAAAGCUUGUGAGGCUUUCUUGAGCUAUACUAUUCUCAUUUUUAAGGCUAGCUACUUGAUUAUCAACCGAGGAAUGUUCCUUAGUAAAUUUCCCAAUUGAGUCAUUGGCAAAAGACAAUUCAAUGGUCAACUUUUCAACCUUCGUCUUUUCCUCGGCGAUAGAUGCUUCAAGUGCUAGGUUCUUUUCCUUCUCUUGCACAAUUAUAUCACCUUGCAUCUCUAAGCAUCUAUCCCUCUUCUCUAAUUUCUUCAUUAGACUUUUUAUUUUAGUGAAGGCCUUAUGACCAAAUUUCUUUAUCAAGGAUGCCUCAAGUUGUUCUAUGUUUUCAUCAUGACUAUCAUAUUCAUCACUAGAGGUUUCGGGUGAGGUAGUUACCUUCUCCCCCUUAGCCAUAAGGCAAGUUGGAGUGUAGUAGUCAUCGUCGUUGAGGUUGGCGAAGAGGCUUGGUGUAGAAUCCAAGUUGGGGAAGAGCUUUGGUGGUGAAGCCUUUGGGAGGUUCAUGAGUGAUGAUGAGGAUUUGUGAAUGGCAAUGUUUGCAGCUCCUUUCUUCUUCUUCUUCUCUUCAUCACUUGAGUCACUAUCAUUUGAUAUCCAUUCUUCACCAAGAUGAGCUUCACCCUUUUUCUUUCCUUUGUACUUCUUGUCAUUAUUCUUGUUGUACUUGUUCUUGUCUUUCAUAUUUGGGCACUCACCUAUGAAGUGACCGGUUUGUCCACAUCCGUAGCAAAACCUCUUCUUCCUUUGAUGACCCUUCUUCUUCAUAAACUUUCUAAGAUUUCUAAUGAUAAAAGCAACUUCUUGAUCAGAAUCUUCGUCACCACUUGAUGAUCAUCCUUCACUUUCUUCUUUUCAUGACAUGACUUGUGGUGUUCAUGACCUUGCUCUACCUUUAGAGCUACAUUCUUGUUAUAUCCCAUUGCACUAGGAUUUUGACUAUGUGCAUUGAUAGCAUCUUGAUCAAGGCACUCAUGAUGCUUGAGCUUGGCUAGAACUUCUUGAGGUGUCAUGCAAUCAUAGUCGGGCCUUUCCAUAAUCACUGACGCUAGCAUGUUGUUCUUUGCUCUAUAGGUUCUUAAGAUCUUUCUUGCAACCUUGUUUUCAUCCCAUUCAGUGCUUCCAAUGGAUCUUAUCCGGUUGACCAAAGACAUCAUCCUAUCAAACAUGGCUUGAGUGGAUUCACCUUCUAGAAAAACAAAUCUUUCCAACUCACCAUGAAGUAACUCAAUGUUACCCUUUCUCACACUCUUGUCACCUUCAAAUGCUGUUUUCAACACUUCCCAAAUAUCCUUGGCAACUUCUCUUCCAUUCACUUUGUUGAAUUCAUCUGGAGCCAAACUUGAAACUAAAAUAGCCACAGCUUGAGCAUUUUGAUGAAAGAUGUGUGCUUCCUCCGGAGUGAUCUCUCUAUCUUUAGUGGGAAAUGUUACACCAACAUCUAGCACUUCCCAAAGAUUUGCAGCAAUGAGGUGCAUCUUCAUUUUGUAGGCCCAAUCGGGAUAUCUAGUUCCAUCAAAGUGAGGAGGUUUCCCUAGGUUGAUAGAUGGGGCAUGAUGUGAAGCCUUGAUAAGCUGAGAAUAAUCAAAGUUCAUGUUGGAGUAGACUCCUUUUGGGUGACCUUCUUCUUUACCUCCAACUUCACUUUCAUUAUCAUUGUCUUUGUGUCCACUAGGUCCCUCAUCAGAUUUUCUACUACCUAUUGCAUCUUCAACUUUCUUGCUCAGCUCUUCUUUUAACUUUGUCAUCUCAUCUUGCAUUUUCUUCAUUUCAUCUUGAAAAAGCUUUGAUUGAGCUGCCAACAGUUCUUUGGCUAUUUCCUUAGCCAAUUCUUGUGUCUUUUCGGUUUCUGACAUUGUUUCUUCUCACACGGUAAAGUGCUAAAAGAAGACCUCGCUCUGAUACCAAUUGAAAGGAUCUAAACAAUGCCUAGAGGGGGGGUGAAUAGGCGUAUCUAAAAAAUUCUACACAAAACUCAAAGUCACUUGUCAGCAACUGUCGGAAGUCCCGACAGUUUGGGUCAGAACUUCCGACGUUGUCAGAAGUUCCAACGCAAACUGUCAGCAGUUCCGACACCUACGGGAAAAGAACUACAAGUACUUAAAUGAACUUUGUGAGAUCCACAACUUACAACACCACUCUCUAGUGGAUAGAAGAGGAUGUUGAGAGCCUUCCUUGACACCAAGAGUUCCCCAAACCGUAGAUCAAGACCAAACCCUAAAAGGAGGUAGAGAGACAAGCAUAUACAAGUAAUACGAGUAGAACUUAAGAAAAGCAACCACGAGAGACACAAGGAUUUAACCCGAGGUUCGGCAACCCCACUUAGGAGUUCCUACGUCCUCGUUGUUGAGAUGACCACUAAGGUCGGAGUCUCUUUCACCUCCUUGCCUCCCUCAAAGUAACCACAAUGGUCACUUGAGCUUUCCACUAAGAAAAACAGGGUAAUACAAACUUUCCAAGGCUCUUCCACAAGAUGGAAGCUCUUGGACGACGCCUAGCCGGCUAGGGUUCCAAGAACCCAAGAGUAAUAAACUCAAAACCUGCCGGCUUGACAAAGAGAUCAAGUGCUCAAGCUUCUCAAGGCGUUGCUCUCACUUAACCACUCUCCAAUCACUCCAAAACUAAGGUGAAUAGAAGUUGGGAGCAAGGAGGAGGAGAAGAGGGGAGUCUUGAAAGCUUGGGAGCUGUUUUGCCUGAGGGUUGGUCGCGAAGAAUGAGUGGAUAACGGUUAGAAACACAGAGGGAGCUAUUUAUACUACUGGGAGAAAGGUCUGCUCAGAUGUACGUCGGAAGUUCCGACAAAGUGUCGGGACUUCCGACACUCACAGGGAAACACUGUUGAGAAGGCAGCCGAGGUCAGCGCAGGAAGCCAGUGUCGGAACUUCCGACAAGAGUCGGAACUUCCGACGGGUCAGCACUGCUGACGCUGGCCAGAACUGCUGGCACUCGUGCGAGACAGGCUUGGCGUCGGGACUUCCGACGCUUGUCGGGACUUCCGACGCGUGCGCGCGCAGAACUCAACGUCGGGAGUUCCGACUCAUGUCGGGACUUCCGACGCUCACAGUUCUCGCACAGCACGUCGGGAGUUCCGACCCGCGUCGGGACUUCCGACACCAGAAGACACAGAAAUUAAUCCUAAGGCAAGAAAGGUGCUAGAGUGUCUCUAAAAAGAUUUAGUUGAAAUAACUUGAGCACUCUAUCUUCCCCAAACCAACAACCUUUGAAUCCCUCUUGAUAGUACGGCAUACCUAUCCCCAAGUUAACAUAAAAACGAAUAAGCUCUAGAUUGAAUCCAACGCCUUUCUCACGAACGAAGAUUGGGGGAUACCAUUUUAUCUUAAGUUGAACCUUUGCAACUUUCAUGAAUCUAGUAGCUGCAGCAAAUCUCAAAUACAACGCAUUAGUCCCUAAAUUGGAUGUCAUCAAUACACCAAAACCCACAUAGGGGGCAAAUGCACUUUCACAGAGGUGUAUUUGAAAGUCAGCAGCAUUCUGACAGCGAUUAGAAUGUCCUCCGUCUGCUAGUCUUCUUGAUUCUUAAAUUCUGCAGAGCUCAAAUAGACAACAAAGCUUGUGGAACUUGAUUAAGUGUUAGCAUAAAUAUCUAGCCUUUAUCAUGUUGAGACUCCUUAAUAAUUUUUACUCCCUGUUUUUAUAUUUUCAUUUUUAUAAAGCAGAAAAAUAUUUAUUUUAUUUUUAUGCCACCACAGUGAAUGUACUUAUGGGUUUUAUGCCACUCUCAUACUCACAUGGGGCUUACUGUUUUUUUUCACAUUUUUAUUUUCUUUUUAGGAUAGCAUGAACAUAAUUAACUAAAUAAACUAUUUGAAAUAAUUGAAAGGGAACGGAUAACUACCAAGUUUACCUCUUGGCUAGGCGUUCAGUGUUUUUAAGACCUCCGAACGGGACUCCGUUUUCUCAAUCAUCCUGAGGUUCGUUGGGUGGUGUAGUCGGUACUUCUGGCAGCGCCUCCUCUUCAUGUAUAGUUAUCUUCAUUUUCCAUACCUGACUCGGUGCUUCAAUCUCCUCUGGAUAAUUCUGUUUAAACUCUAUGUCUUCUGACCUUACAACUUCUCCUUCAUAGUCUGCCCAUCCAUCCUUGAUGAUUUUCCUCCUCUGGUUGCGGUUGCGUCGCUUUCUUACCUGCUUAGAUUCUUCAACGAUAUAGUUAGGGUCAGUAAAAUAACAGCGUACCUUCUUUGAGGGGAAGUGCAUAUGGACUUCUCCGGUUCCAAUGUAGAUAAUUGCUUUAACGGUGCUGAGGAACGGUCUUCCAAGGAUGAUGGGUGGAUCGUAUUCGUCUUCUCCUAUGUCAAUAACCUGAAAGUCUGUGUAGACAAAAUGAUCGUGUAUUUUGACUGGGACAUCAGAUACUGUUCCUUUAACUUCUCGAAAUGUCUGAUCCGCCAUCUAGAGCUAAAUGUAUGUUGGUCUUAGUGGCAUGGUUCCGAACAAGAGCCGAUAGGUGACUGCGGUCAUUAUGUUGACGCCCGAUCCGGUGUCACAAGUCGUCUUGUAGAAGUUGUAUCCAUUUAUGGAGCAGUAAAUGCUUGGCAUUCCUGGGUCGUCCUUCUUGGUCAAAAGCGGUGACUUUUGGUGAUCUUGGCCUCCAUGAACUACAGUGACCAUCUUAGCUGACUCGGUCCACACUUGCUUGUUCCUGUUCCUCCUGUUGGUCCUCUUCCUUGAUUCACGUCUGGAUUGAUCUGGAAUUUGUGUAGUCUUGUUCUUGAAGAAAAAUGUCUCCUUCCUCCCUUUGACGUAGAAACUGAUCUUGGCAGCACUAGCAUAGAUGAUAGCUCCCGUGGUGUUCAAGAAUGGCCUCCCUAAGAUGAUAGGUGCUCUCUCGUCAUUUCCGGUCUCUACCACUACGAAGUUGUUGACAGUCCUUAAAGCUCACAUUUAACCAUCAACUAAUCAUAGAAAAGAAUCCAAAUGCAACCAACACCUAGACUUAGGGUUUUAUCUGACAGAAUUCCAUGAGUUUUGGUGUUUGUCUAUUUCUGCAGGGGGUUAUCAGGAAAUACGGAGGAAAGGCCCACACGUCGGGUUUACAUAGAGAUAUUAACGUGCCGCACAAUUUUCUACCAUCUAGAAGACUCCAGAAGCCACGGGAGCGAACGGGAGACGUGACGGAGCCGGGCACUGGGCGCCCGCCCUCCCUUACUGGGCGCCCGCCCUCCCUCCUGGACCAAUCAGGGCGAAGCUCGGGGAUCAUGCUCCACCGACCUAAUACUUCAAGGAAAACCACACGAUCAAUUUCGGUUUGAUCCGACGGCCCAGAUUCAUCUGAAAAGACUAUAUAAGCAAGGCCCCCUGGCCCCUGGAGAUCAUACCUCUUCUACAGAAUCAAAGUUAGGGUUUCAAUUCUUCAUCCAAAUAGAGAGGAUCCCUCUAGUUCUUCUAGUUCUACCUCUAGUUCAUCUAGAUCUAGUUCUAGUUCAUCUAGUUCUAGUUCUAGUUCCUCUAGUUCUAGUUCUAGUUAGUUCUAGUUGUAAUCUAGAAAAUAGGGAGAGAGAAGAGGAGAGCGGAGGAGGAGCCGGAUCUGUCGGAUCUUCCUCAACAUUGUACUUUUGCAGCAACUAGUUCGUUCUUCAUCGUUCUCUAGGUUCUUCAAUUCAUAAUUCCUGAGUUCUUUAUUUACUUUUACUUACAUUCAAGUUAUUUAUUGGAUUCCCGCUUGCAUCAAGUGCUAUAGUCUUUAUAACGCUAGAGUAGUAAUUAAUAGAUUAGACGUGGUGUUUAGUCUUGCAAUUACCUAGAAUUGCACCCAAUCCUGUGGAUUGUUGUGGUAGCCUUAGGGUAGUGACAGCCCUAACGAUCGACGUAUUCCACCUCGUUCAGAUCGGUGUUUGUAGGACCGUAGUCAGACCUUCCUAGCCCCCUUCUCAUCUCUUUCUGUGGUUAGUGCUCUGAUGUCCCGAAAUAGAUAAUCUUGAAGUAAUUCUUGAUUCUUAGAUCAACUAGAGAACUCUCAGCAAACUUCCUCUCUUCCCACCAAAAAUAAUUAUAUAGUUAUCCUUGGGUGAUCUUGGAUCUUAAUUAGUACACUCACGUUCCCUGUGGAAAAUCGAUACUCUGGAAUACUCCCGGGUGAAGGCUACAUCGGUAUCUGUGCGCUUGCGGAUUUUUUCUGUUUGCGUUUAAAAUACCCAACAAGCUUUCUGGCGCCGUUGCCGGGGAACGGUAGCUGUGCUAGUUUCGAACCAAGUCGUCCGUGUAUCCUUUUUCUUUUCCUUUUUUUACCACACUCACCUUACCAUUUUCACCACACCACAUGGAUUUCACUCUAAGCAUUAAUGAGCAUGGAAUUUAUUUCAUAGUCACUUCAUUUACUCCAUGCUCAUAUGCAACAUCUUCACAAUCCAUUGGUCUCUCAAACAUCACCACAUUCGAGAUCUCCAACCCCCUCUUCCUUUCUAUUUAUAAAAACUUUAAAAGGGCGGUUGUCGAUGCAUAUGUGUAUAAUAAAUUUUGCAGAUCUCAUUGAGUUGAUCUUGAUAUAAGUCAGCGUUGGAGGGGAAACCACUUCACUGACAUAAAUUGAUGGUUUCCCAAGGACAAGCUUAGUGUCCUAAAACAAGCACUGAUCAGAUUGUAACAUGAGCUUUUAAUUAUUUGCAACAUUAACUUGUGUAUUGAGCAUAUAAGGAUAACUGUAAAAAAAUUCCUUCGGGUAUUCUUAUCACUAACCUUUUCAGAAUUGGAGCAAGAAGAUCGGAUGAAUGACAAGCACAAGGUAUGUCCAACCAAUCACCAUACAACAUUGAAUUAAAUUCAUCCAAACUUGAAUUUUGCAAAAUUCAGGCUUGGGGUGUACUUUACAUAAAAACAUCCUUUGCCAUGUUGCUAUGUUGGUUGUCCCUACCUUUGAGACAUGCUCAAUUUGUUAAAUACUAAUCACACUACUUCAUCUCCACUUGAGUAGAUCUCUAUAAAUGCUCUCAUACCACCUUUAUUUGCUUUAGUAUAUGUCUAGGCUUGGAGUAUUUUCAUUUAUCUCUUAAUUAAGCAUGGUGCUUAGUUUAGGAAUGAUGAUCUUAUUCCAAGGGAGUUUAAAUUAAGCAUGGUGCUUAGGUUAAAAUGCCAUCCUAAAUCAAAUUAGACAUGGUGUCUAGGUUGAUCUUUGAGCCGAUAGUAUGCUAUAGUAGAUAUUGGAUAUUUUAUUGGACUAACCCCUGCAGGAAAACUUUCAAUAUCAACCUGGGAAGUCCUGAGAUAAACUCACAUUGGAGACAAAGAGAGAGGCACAUGAAGUUUAACAAUUUACACAAGGAAGACAUAGCUUACAAGAGAUGAUCCAUGGAGGGUGCCAUAAACACGAUGCACAACCACUAAGAAAGGAAAGCUUCCACAAGGUGAUACUGUACCAUCACUCUUCAAGUAAGGUAACAUCUUAAGGUACUUGACUAUCACUUUUAUAAAGCUUCUCCUUGGUUCUGGCGUUCACAUGAAUAAAAGAGACAAACAUGUAUGAUUUGCAACUCUAGAUUAACCAACACAAUUGAUUCAAUAUGUUUAGUCCUUCCACCUUUGUGAUCCCACACUCCUAAUCUUAUGAACUAAAAUGUUGCACACUCAAUCUUUGGAAAAUGAUAGUCAUGUAAAGAAAAAAAACAUUUACUUAGAUAGAUUAUCUUUCCAUAAGGUUGAGUGAUCUGAUCUGACAAAUGUUUUAAAUGCUACACUCAUGAUCUUAUCAUCCAUCAACUUUGUCUUGCUCACUAUGCUUAAGGUUAGAGAGAACAAAUACACUUUUGGUUCUGUUGGUGUUUUCCACCAAAAGAGCCCAUGCACUUGAUCUCUGCCUUGUCUCUAUGAGCAGGUACACGUCCAGCAAAAUAUGAAGGACUUUUACAACUCCUAGACUACACCAAGUGAAGAACCUAGAUCUACGAGCACAAACACACUAGAGGUACUAGUUACUCAGGCAAUCACUGCCCUGAGAUCCUUGAGGACGUAACUACUGGAGUAACCUCGUUGUGGAAGUAAUUACUGAUCUUCUGCCGGUCAAGAGAGACAACCCAGGAUGCCCCGUCAUCCCGAUCUCCAUCGGUAUGGUGGACUUCCUAGAAGCACUCUGUGACUUUGGCUCUAGUGUCAACAUUAUGCCCACGGUACUCUAUGAAAAAAUUCUUUACACAUCCUUUAUUAGAAACAGCCAUGUGUUUGCAGCUUGCAGAUCAUACGCUAAGUUUCCCAAAGGGAAUAUUGAAGAACCUCUACGUCCGAGUUGGUACCUUGUACGCCCCAGCAGACUUCUUGGUAAUAAGAGACUCGUACUGAUGAGAGGGCACCCGUCAUCAUAGGGAGGCCAUUCCUGAACACCUCGGGAGCUGUCAUCUACGCUAGUGCUGCCAAGAUCAGUUUCUACAUCAAGGGAUGGAAGGAGACGUUUUCCUUCAAGAACAAGACUACACAAAUCUCAGAGCAAUCCCGACAUGAACCAAGGAAGAGGACCAAUAGGAGGAACAGGAACAAGCAAAUGUGGACCGAGUCCGCUAAGAUGGUCACUGCAGUUCAUGGAGGUCAAGAUCAUCAACUUAAGUCACCAUUCCUAACCAAAAAGGAUGACCCAGUCACCUAUCAGCUCCUAUUCGGAACCAUGCCCCUAAAACCAACAUACAUUCAGCUCUAGAUGGCAGAUCAGACAUUCCGAAAGGUUAUUGACAUGGGAGAAGACGAGUACGAUCCACCCAUCACCAUUGGGAGACCGUUCCUCAGCACCGUUAAAGCAAUCAUCUACAUUGCAACCAGAGAAGUCCACAUGCAUUUCCCCUCUGAUGAGAAGGACAAGAAGAAGACGACGCAACCAUAACCAGAGGAGGCAAAUCAUCAAGGAUGGAUGGCAGACUACGAAGGAGAAGUAGUGAGGUCUGAAGACAUACAGAUUGAACAGAACUAUCCUGAGGAGACCAUAGCACCGAGUCAGGUAUGUAGAGAGAAGAUAGUUAUACACGAAGAGCAGGCGCCGCCGGAACCACCGACUACGCCAUCCAGCGAAUCCCAGGACGACUGAGGAAACGGAGAAUCCCGUUCGGAGGACUUAAAAACACCGAACGCCUUGCCAAGAGGUAAACUUGGUAGUUAUCUUUUUCCUUUUAAUUAUUUUAAAAUAGUUUGCUUAGUUAAUCAGGUUCAUAUCAUCUCGAAAAGAAAAUAAAAAUAUUAAAAAUAGUAAGCCCCAUGUGAGUAUGCUCAUGGCAUAAAACCCAUAAGUACAUUCACUGUGGUGGCAUAAAAAUAAAAUAAAUAUAUUUCUGUCCUAUAAAAAUAAAAUUAUAAAAAUAAAUUUAUGAUCCUACUAAAGAGUGUAACAUUUAUUAAGGAGGCUCAACAUGAUAAAGGCUAGGUAUUUAUGCUAACACUUAACCAGUUCCACAAAGCUUUGUUGUCUAUUUGAGCUCCACAGAAUUCAAGGAUCAAAGAAGACUAGCAGACGGAGGACAUCCUAAUCGCUGACAGAGUGCUGCCAACAUUCAAAUACACCUCAGCCAGCUGCUAGCUACAUCAGAAGAAAUUGCGUCAAAAUCCAGCUUGGGGGAGAGCACCCCCAUUUAUCCAGCUAAGUAUUCUACUCAUGUUUAUACUUUACUCAAAUAAUAAAAAGAUGCAUAAUCAUAAAAACCCAAAUAAAGAUUUUGUGCUUAUAUAUAUCUUUGCUUAGUUUGCUAAAUAAAUAAAGUUUCUAUGAAUCCUCAUGAUAAGCUCUCAUAUGGAAAUGAUAAAUAGUUGCUCUGCCAUGACUAGUUCUCAAAAUUGAAAUCUCUCUCAAGUUUAGGCAUGACUGUUAUUAAUUAAGAUUUUCUCUAAACCUGAACUUGUGGGAAGAGUACUUGAUCUAAAGUCUAAGUCGUUAACGGAUACGAUAUGGGAAGGUUGAGCUGCUGUUUAUCUGUUCCUAGAGAUGCUAGAAUUCUGGAAAAUUUUAUCUUUGAAAAUCUUUAAAAUGUUGCAUGAUGAGUUCCUGUAUGAUGAGAGUUUAAAUUCCUACCACAGCCAUAUAUACAUGCUUGCUAGACUUUGAGCCACAUAUUUACUUUUUACUGCUUAUGAGCAUUGAGUGUGGUCAAGCUGUGUAGACCCUUAGGAGCUUGUCAUGUGGUUAAGUCAAGAUUCACUUGCACGUUCACUCACACAUGCUGCUUCUACUCCGGAAGUACGCAUCCACAUAUAUCCAUCCAUUUCCAUCUCCAGAACCACCCAAAAAUAUUCUACUCCUAAUCCGGGAGAGAAUAGCCAAAAAUAUUUCUGUUUUUCCCCUGUGAAAUAAAUGCUCAAGUUAUCUUGGUUACUACCACUUGCUAUAUUAUUUUAGGAAAUGAGUGCUCUAAAAAAAGAGAAGAAGAAAAAAAAGAAAGAAAAAAGAAAGAAUACGAGGAAAUAAAAAGGGGAAAGUGCCCGGAACCUCGAAAGAAAAGAAAAAGUGAGAUGAGAGGUAAAAAUGGACAAGUGUCCGACAGUAGAAUUAGGGGUACAAGAUAUCCACCUGAGAGAAAAGAAAAAGAAAAUAUAGAGCAUCUCAUUUUCCUCAAAAAGUUUCAAAAGAGCAAGAAAGGUAUGUAUCCCCUCAAAAGAGCACAAGUAGAAUUAGACUUUCACCAUUGUUAUCACCAUCAUUACCAUGCAUCAUUCAUUCGCCACACAUGCACAUCUUGAUUUGACUUAUUGACUUGUUCUUCUGGAUCCAUGGUUUGACUAUGCAAUAAAUGUCUUGUAAGUAUGUAUUAGCUGUCUCCCACCUAUGAGCUCCAGAUAUCAAAACCUUAUUAGAGUAGGGUGAGAGAGAAGGCAAUGCCACUAUGUCUUAUACCACAAAUACCACAUACUUUUAGAGAAGGAAUAUGCCAUCACUGCCUUGGUAAGGAUCUAGAAAUACCACAAAAGAGAGACUAGAGAGAUUCAUACAAGGAAUCUCUGAGUUUUAUUUGAAAAUCUACAAAAACUCCAGAGCUAUAGUUAAUCGAAGAACAAGAGACAUGGUGCUUGACUAGACCGUUCUAUCUUUUAACUGCUCAAGACACAGGUGACGGUUGCAAGCCCCAUGGUGGAAGGUACAAUGGGUAAGUUUAAAUCUUAACAGUUUACCCUAACC
rnacentral:lncRNA from 1 species